UUUGGUGCUCAAGCACAACAAUUCAUUCAUCCAUUCUUAGUGCAAAAUAAAAAGUUCAUGAGAGAGUUUACUGAUCACAGAAACAAAAUCUACCGAAAACUUAUCACUGGUACGGCCUAAAUCCCGGAUUUGGAGACGUUGGAUGAAUCUAACAAAGGUAUGACUAAAAGAUAUCGUAAAGCACAAAGGAAGAAGCAGAUUAAGAAAGAAUAAAGGCUGGGAGUUAGAUGGUGACUUACUAACAUGAAUUCUGAGAUGGUGAGAAUUAGAGCAAUAUCAUUAGCAUUCAUUUAUCUAAAGACACUGGAUAUUCAACCAAGUACAACAAUUCAGAUAUGGUCCGUGUCUCUACAAGUAUCUGUCUCAAUUAAUUGUUCAAAAAAUUCACCAAGCUUCUUCGCUUCAUUAGACAUUGUCGAACUAGACCCAGGGGACGUCUCAGAGCCCAGCCACAUAUAGGCUAACUUGGCAGAUACCAUUUUCAACCUCGGGGCUCAAAUUCCGGUAACCAUUAAGCUGAUCGGAUAAAUCAAUAGUGAGUUGCUUCAUUUAUUAUAAGAUGGUAACUAGUAACAAUGCUUUUUGCUGAUUUGUUCUGUGUAGUUAAAGCUAGCACUUCUAGGUCCACUUGGAGCUGCCUCGUCAUGAUAUUCAUGUGUUCGUUUUAGAAUUUUCAGUGUUUGGUUGAGUUCUUCCAAAUCUUGCUUGUAUACCAAACGAGCCCCACACUUCUUCACCUUAUUCAAGUCUGCUUUUACUUUUACCCCUCCAAUACAACUAAAGUAAGUCUCAAAUAAAAACUGUUCCUGAUGACAAAUUUCACGAGGCAACUGAAAUGCCCAAAGGUGUUCUGACACAAGAGACCCUAUCAUCUUUGAACAAAUCAUAGGGUACAAGGGUUUUGAUAAAAACUCAAAUUUUAAAUUAAUAUGAUAAAAAUGUGCAGCUGGACCUGGAUUGACCAAGUUUUCCUUAGGAACUUGAAAAACAACACAAAAGGCAAUUCCCAGCCAGUUGGUACAUGAUGUGGGAGGAAGCUCCAUAUUUACUGAGUCUCCCACACUUUGAUUACUGAACCACUCCGGAAUUUCGCUUCCAGGGAAUACAACUUGUGGCUUUCGGUAAUAAUCAUGUAACCAAAGAACUAUUAUAUAUAUGUUGUUGGAAAAAAUUAGUAUUUUGGUUUAUUUGAAUGUUUUGUUUUUUAGGCUUAGCCCGUUAGCAUUAGGGUUUUGAUUUCUUACCUUUUAGGAUUAGGAUUAGUUUAUUAUAAAUAACAUACUUGUUAUUUAGUCGAAAACAAGUUAGUCACGAUGUAGUCUCUUGAGAUUUUGUAGCCAUUUCGGUAUUCUUGUUUGUUUAAUAAUAUUUUUAUUAUUUUGUAAUCUUGUUCGUUGCACACUCUGAUUUUCAACUUAUGUAUGUGUGUGUGUGUGUCUAUAUAUAUAUAUAUAUAUAUAUAUAUAUAUAUAUAGAGAGAGAGAGAGAGAGAGAGAGAGAGAGAGAGAGAGAGAGAGAGUACCUUGUUCUGAGUGGCAAAUUUUAGAAUCCUUGAGAGUAUUGUAUUAGUCCAGCCUUCAUCUUGAACCAAUGCAAUGCAAUUCCGGCAAGUGAAACUAAAAUCAUACAAAUUGGUGAAUCUGCUGCUCAACUUGGAUGUAUCUGACAAACUUCGUAAGGAAGUACAAUCGUCUACAUCUACAUGCAAUUUGCCAUUAGAUGGAAGAGGUGGCAAUUUUUGAAGGCUUUUGCAGCUCGACAGACCAAGAUAAUAAAGCUUAGAAAGGCAUCUAAUGCUUUCAGGUAGACUGACGAAAUUAUUUUCACCAAGAUCCAAUUUUUCCAAAAAGGACAAGCAACCAAUAUCAUCGGGGAUAUCCCCUUCACAGAGUUUACAAUCUGUUAGAUUUAUGGUCCUCAAAGUGCAUAAACGAUUUAGAUAAGAAAACAUCAAACCCCAACAAGGAGGAGGACCAGGAGCACUCUUUCCAAGUCCUAAUAUGCGGAGAAGGCCCCACUUGUCCCUUGCUUUAGCAUACGAUCUGCAUAAUAGUAGUUGUUUGAGAUUUUUCAUCCCCAUAAGCGGCUCUGUCAAAGUGGCUUCCAAUCCAAGAGCCUCUAAGUGAUCCAUGUCUCCUGGAAGUUUGUGGAUUUUUGAGCACUUUCCCACAUAGAGGCGUCUAAGAGACUUCAAAUUACAAAUAGCCUCUGGAAGGUUCAAGAGAUUUUUGCAAUUAAAUAGAUUCAAAUCCUUAAGGCCAACCAAAUGUUCAAUUGAUGAUGGCAUUUUCUCAAUUGCAGUCCCGCUUAAGCGAAGCUUGGAUAAGUUCUUCAUCUGCUUCCCAAAUUCUGGAAUCUUUUUCACAUUUGAGCAGCCACUAAGAUAUAAGGAUUCCAGAGAAUCCAUUUCAACCUCACUUGGGAGGCUCUUAAUGCUUUCACACCAUGCAAGGUCUAGAACUUUAAGUUUUUUAAGGACUGCAAUAGAGGGGUGUAUCUCAACUAAAUUCUUACAUUCAAAAAGAUUCAACUCUACAAGUUUUGGAACACCACUGAAAUCUGGGGUACUGAUCAAAUUUUUGGAGAAGCCAAGAUUGAUAUAUUUCAAGUUGGGCAAGUCCUGUACAACACCGAUAAGGUUUAGAUCCUAUACUUAGCUUUUACAACCUUAAAGUUUAUCCAAAAUAAUAAAUAAAUGAUUAUUUUAUAAUUUAUAUAGCAUUUAUUCAAUAUUACUCUUACCAAUUUUCCCUUCCAAAGCCGAACAAGUUUGCUCUUUCGCAUCGCAAGUUGAGUAAGCAAAUGCGGGUGAAAGCUGGUUGGAAGAAACUUGGAAGGAUAGAAACUCCAGUUUAUAAUUCUCAAGGAACAUGGAAGAAAUUUAGGACCUGAAGAAAUGAUCAAAUUAUUGAAUUCCAGAAACCUCAGUUCAUGCAUAUUAGAGAAGGCUUCCGAAUUCCAGUGCACCUCUUUUGAUUCGGGUAACCGUAAGACUAUGCCUUCAAUAGCACGUGUCCCCUAAUAACCAAGAAGGUAGGAAACGUCAAUUUCACAUACUAAUAUUAUGUUAAUAGAAAUCAUAUCCUUUUUUGAACUUGGUAUUUACAUAAUUUCUUACCGUAUUGGUCAUGAAUACAUGAAAAAUGUCAUUGGGAAUCCACAACCUACUACGUAGACCAGGCUCUUCAGACUCUUGACGAACAAUUGUCCAUGCCAUUUGUUGUAUCAAAUCAUGCAUCCCUAUCAUGUUUCCGUAAUCAUUGUAUAGAAGAGAUCUCUCAAUUAGCAAAUCUAUUAGAAUACAACUAGAAAUUCCAAAAGAAUUGUCUAGUACUUGAAUUACUUGCUUUGUGUACUUCCCUUUGUGGAAACAUGCAACAUCAAGGAAAAUUCUCUUCUCCAUCAACCGGAGUCCAUCAUAACUAACUUUGAGCGAAUAAAAAAUUGUUUGAUUGGGAAUUUUAUGUAGAUUAUCCAACUCACUAUUCCAUGCAUCUCGCCCUCUCGUAUACAAAAAAGACCCUAAAACUUUAAGAACUAAUGGAAGUCCUCUGGCAUAGUUUAGGAAACGCUCAGAGAGUUCCAAAAAGUCUUCCUCGGGUUGGUCUUUUUUGAAGGCAUUCAAGCUAAAGAGCUCAAGAGCUUCUCCAUAAUUCAAUCCCUCAACCUUAUAUGAUGUUGCUAUACCAUUCUGGACGAGCAGACCUUCAUUUCUUGUUGUAAUGAUAAUUCUACUCCCCAUACCAAACCAACUUUGAUUCCCAGCCAGUACUUCUAGUUGGUUUAAUUCAUCCACAUCAUCAAGUACGAGAAGAACCUUCUUAUUGCACAAGCACUUCUUACUGUAAAUUCUUCCCCACUCUUCAUCCCAAAUUUCUUCAAUCUUUUCCUUCAAGAUUGGGAAAAGAAGUUGUUUUUGAAGGCCAACAACAGUAUGAUCUCUUGCACAAACCUCUCUAACAUUGGCAAGAAAACAGUGAACUUCAAAACGAUGGAAGAUUUUGUCAAAAACUAGCUUAGCAAGGGUUGUCUUGCCUAUGCCACCCAUCCCAGUUAUCCCAAUAAAGUGAACAUCAUUUGCAUCAAGAGCUAAUAGCAUAGUUAGUUGCUCGAGCGCGGAAUCAAUUCCGACUAACUUCUGUGAGGAAUCUGACAAAGUGAUUGUAGCUUGCACCUUCCUCCACACACAUUUGGCGAUGUCAUCAAUCAGCUCUCUUUCACACCUGCAAAGAAGAAAAAUAGAAUAACAAAAAAGAGAACAUAAGUAAGCAAUCAAGUAUGGAUGACUAUAUUAAGACAUGGGCAAGUUGUUCAUGCUUGCUUACUUAAAAUUCUUCAAAUCCCACCCAGAAAUUUUCGACACUGUUUUUAAAGCAGCUUUCCACUGAGUCACCUUCAUUUUGUCUUCAGUGCUAGUCAACUUUCCUUCAUGCUUGGCGAAGGCUUCGGCAAAUCUCCCCCUCUGAUUUCCUACGUCAGAGGGAUCCACACCAUAAAAGACUGGGAGAAUUGAGUUCCUGGCUUCCAUGCACUGAAUAAUGUUUGUAAGCUCAGUCAAGCACCAUUUGGAAGAAGCAUAGUUUGGCGAGAGAACAACAAUUGCAGUAUGUGAUUCUUUGAUCGCACUCGGGAGCUCCAGAGGAAUACUUGUUCCACCUGCAAGCUCUCGGUCGUCCAUGAAAGUCAUAAUUCCUUGGCACUUGCACAAUUCGUGGUAUAGAUGGGAGACAAAACCCUUGCGGGUGUCUACACCUCUGAAACUCAGAAACACGUCGUACUUCCAUUGAGGAGCUGAUUCAGAUGAAAGAAGAGAUACAGAGGCCCUUUGCGUGCUCAACGCCAUUGCAAAGUGGCUCCUCACAAUCUGAGAGGAAUGGUAAUUGUCAGCAGAAAACCACUCACACCAAAGUAGGAACGGAUGAUGAAAGAGGGUUUAUCUUCUUUUUUUUUUGUCUCUUUCGCCAAUGGUCUUCGUUCUCUCUAUUUAAUUAUUUGGAUGAUCAAACAAUAUUUAAGUAUUAUAUUACAUUAUCAAGACAUUAAAACAGGAAAGUGAUCAUCUCCAAAUCUCUUCCACCAAGAUCACUGGCUCAUUUGAUCUAGGCAUUUCAAAUAUCAUCCAACGGCUCAUUUAUUUUGAUUCCUUAAAAAUUGUGAUAAAUUUUUGUUGUUGGAUGGAAUUUGAAAGGCUCAGAUCACUUGAUCCAGUGACUUUGAUGGAAGAAAUCCGGAGAUGAUCUCUUUACAUUAAAGUAAACAAAAGAUUAACUAUUUGAUCAUUGAGAACUAAAGCAUCUCAGCACGUGAAAGGAGACUUGACUUCAUAAGUUGACAAUUAAAACUGGAAAAAUAAUGAAAAGACAAAAGUUGACAAUUAAAAACGUGUGAAAUGAGACUUAACUUAAUAGCUAUGAAAUUUCAGGAAAGCAUAAUCUCAACGCCUUGCAAAAAUUCUUGAGAAACUGAAGUAUAGUUUGAAUAAAAUUUCAAGGAAGCUCACUCUUAAUGCGUUGUGAAAAAUCUUUUGAAGUAACAAAAAUAAUUAAAUAAUCAUGUAACAAGUGCAUGUUCGUGAAUGGAAGUCCAGAUAUAUAUUGAAGCAUACUCGAAUACUUUCUGAAUAAACCAGACAAAAUUGCAGGCAUCAUCCGUAUACCAAGAACCAUCAUCCGAAGAUUCACAAUUCUCAUCAAAUAGUUUAACUGAGACAUGUGCUGAUACUUUUGGUGCAGUCAUAUAUAAAGGGUGAAAUGUCGAUUUAAUUCCUAAACUAUCACUUUAGUUAAACUCAAAAACACGUCAUAUUAAAUUGAGGAGUUGAUUCAGAUGAAAGAAAAGAUGCAGAUGCCCUUUGCGUGCUCAACGCCAUUGCAAAGUGGUUCCUCACAAUCUGAGAGGAAUGGUAAUUGUGGGCAGAAUAUCACUCACACCAAAGUAGGAACAGAUGAUGAAGAGAGGUUUUAUUUUUUAAUUUUUUAUAAUUUUUAAUUUUGGUCUCUUUCGUCAAUGGUCUUUGUUCUCUCUCGUUAAUUAUUUGGAUGAUCAAACAAUAUUUAAUUAUAUUAAGUUACAUUAUCAAGACGUUAACGUAAACAAAAGAUUAAUUAUUUGAUCAUUGAGAACUAAAGCAUCUCACCAACUCUAAAUAAAUAAAUACACAGUUGUAUGUGGAGCCAAAACAAAGAACUGGAAAAAAUAUGGGAGGACAAAACUUCACGACUAAAAACAUGUGAAAUGAGACUUGACUUAAUGGUUACGAAAUUUCAGGAAAGCACACUUUCAAUGUGUUGUGAAAAUUCUCGAGAAAUUAAAGUAUAGUUUGAAUGAAAUUUCAAGGGAGCUCACGCUCGACGUGUUGUGAGGAGUCUUUCUAAGUAACAAAAAUAAUUAAAUAGUCAUGUAACAAGUGCAUGUUCGUGAAUGAAAGUCCAGGUAUAAGUUGAAGCAUACUCUUAAAUUUUUCGAAUAAAGCAGACAAAAUUGCAAGCAUCAUCCGUAUACCAAGAACCAUCAUCGGAAGAUUCACAAUUCCAAGGUUGUAAAAGACGCUAGACGCUAAUUGGGCGAUGGACUGGGACCUAGCGCCUAGGCGAUUAGGCGGACUAGGUGGAUUUAUGUAAAUCUAUUAUAUUUCACGUAAAUAAGUGUCAGUUUAUACUUAAAAUAUAAACAAUUUCAUUAUAAAUUACAAAAUAAAAUUAUAUUUAUAUACAGGCCCUUUAAAAAAAAUAAUGGGGACACCCUAUUGACCAUUAGAUUUGGCUUUAAUGAAAUUAUGUGGUUGAGAUUAAAUCACAGGCCACAGAAUUUCAUUAAAGCCAAAUCUAACGGUCAAGAAGGUGUCCCUAUUUUUUUUGAAAAAUGGGAAUCCGUUCCCUUAAAGGCUUCAGAUAUAUAUAUAUAUAUAUAUAUAUAUGAAAACAUACGGAACAAACAUAUAAUAUGUGUUCAUUUAAGUUUACAACAAGUCUUUUGCAAUUUAUUGAAAAAAAUCAAAUGCAAAAUGAAAAUGAUCUAUUUUUUGUCUAAAUGAGUUGCAACCUAGGCGGGUGCCUAAGCGGUCUAGGAGGGCGCCUUAGCAGGUGUAGGUACCAUUUCUUAAUUCUCAAACACCUAGGCAUGAGGUUGUGACUAGCUGCUUAGUCCCUAGGUGGGGCCUAAAUGGAGCUAGGCAAAGAUUUUUAAAACAGUGCACAAUUCUCAUCUGCUUAGUCCCUAGGUGGGGCCUAAAUGGAGCUAGGCAAAGAUUUUUAAAACAGUGCACAAUUCUCAUCAAAUAGUUUAACUGAGACUUAUGCUAAUACUUUUGGUGCAGUCAUAUAUAAGAAAUGUUUCGACUCCUUCAUGCUGUAGCAAAAUUCUCACGACAAAUAUAACCAAUUUGAGUUCCCACAGUCCAUAAAGAAAGCAAAUAUCUCAAAUAAAAAGCAACUAAGCAACCUAUUUUGAAUCCAUUAACCGGAGUGUUUGAUGAUAGAACGUUCCACUUAUGGGUAUGUGUAUACCCGUUUAUGCAAUUACGCAAUAGACAAACGGUUAUACGAGGUAAGAGCUUAAAUGGUUAUGAAUAAAUAACUGCAGUUACUCUCCCGCCAUAACCACUGCUCAUCUAUACCUUAUAAUUUGAUGAGUAAUUUUAAGAGAGUGUAACUUUUUUUUCCCCACCAUUUUUAAACAUGUAGAGAAACAUCAAGGUGAUGGAAGGCAAUCAUUGAAGAUGGGUGGUGGCUUGCUGCUGCUUUCUCUAAAGGAAAAAGCAAGGGGACUACAUUUAGUAGAUCACUUCUAAACUACCUCUUUAAUAGAAGUGGACUAUAUGUCUAUUAGAGAGGUGUUUAGAUGCGGUUUACCAAAUGGGAUCUCUUUAGUAUCACUAAUCUCAAAAGUUAACACUAGAGGUGUAUUGUUCUUGUUGAGUCAUUACAAAUUAUUAUAUUCAAAGGGUGUUGUUUGUACCAUACUUGACCAAUCCCGAAACUAUUGAGCACCAGUCAACGUUAUACCAUCAAGGACCCAGAAGAGUUUCCCUCCAACCAGAAGGCCAAUCACAGCGCGACACGUGUCGACAUCAGAAGCCAAUCAUAGCGCGACACGUGUCAACAUCAGAAGCCAAUCACAACACGACAUGUGUCAAUGUCAGAAUGAAACUAGAAACUCUCUUCUAUAAAUAGAGAUCAUUCUCUCACAAUAUUUCCUAAUGUCAUUUGUACUAAAUCAUUCACUAGUACUCACUAAAGGAGAGCUUGAACCUAUGUAUGUGUAAACCCUUCACAAUUAAUGAGAACUCCUCUACUCCGUGGACGUAGCCAAUCUGGGUGAACCACGUACAUCUUGUGUUUGCUUCCCUGUCCCUAUCCAUUUACAUACUUAUCCACAUUAGUGACUGGAGCAAUCUAACGAAGGUCACAAACUUAACACUUUCUAUUGUACCAAAGUCCUCAUUGAUUUUGUGCAUCAACAUUUGGCGCCGUCUAUGGGAACGACACUUAUUCCCACUCUUUUCAGCUUUGUUAAGCUAGUUUCCACCAUUCGUACACUCUCUUUUGACCAGGCAUCCUUUUCCAACAUUGGGAGCGAAGGAAGCCACAGUACACCGAAUGACACCCUUCUUGCACCUGGUGUGAAGCAACGAAAGAAGGAACAAAAGAAGUUUGCUCUUCAGGCUAAAGUCGAUGAGCUGGAAGCUCAGAACAACAAGAUAGCGAUGAAGAAUGAGAUCCUCCAAGAGUAGUAUGAGAAGGUCUUCAAGAUUCUCCACGAGGUUAGAUAUACUAAAACACACUAGCUUAUCACCCCUGUGGAAGUCAACCAUCAACUGGGUGCCCCCCAACACGGAGGGUCAUUUGCCCUCGACAUGGGUAUUCAUGUUGAGGAGCGAGCUACUCAUCGAAAUGUCGACCAACAUAAGACUUCUCUCAACCCAGCUGCUUCGACCCGAAGCAGAAUGAGUGGAGGAAGACACCUCCUUACGAAAGGAAUGAAAGGAUCGAAAGCCGUCUUUCGUGACUGUUGAGACUUCCUAAAGCAACGUCGAGACAAUACCAUCUAUGUAAGCUCGAAGAUCAAUGACCCAAGGGUCUUUGAAAGACUCGGUCCCCUUCCAUGUCCCAGGCUGGCUACCAAUUUGGGGAAGGGGCAACAAGUCCUAGAGAAACAUGAAGGUAUAGGGGACUCAGAGAUGUUCCGACAGACAUACCUUGGAAGUCAGUACGGCGAGUCCAAGGAAAAAUCACAUGCUCUUGAUCAAACCUUCCUACUUCCAAUAGGAGAUGGAGAUUUACGAAAGAAAGCUCCAACGGUACAUGACUCUACUUAGGACCCUCUUGUCUUACAGCUUCUUAAGGAAGUAAACAAGCUGAAGGCCAAACAACAAGCUGAGAUACGUGAUUGGAACCAACCUAGGCCUGGCUGUCUUACAAGGAGAAUUCUCGACACCUCCCUCUAAGGAAAGACAAAGCAGAAGCUUGGCUUGCAACUCUAUACUGGAAAGGAGGACCCGAUUGAACACCUUAACCUCUUUGAGUCCACCAUGGUAUACCAACGAAGAGCGAUGUCUUCUUUUCCCUUCCACCCUCUCUGGCAGAGCUCUAAACUGGUAUUGUCGUCUUCCACCUGAGACGGUAGACUCAUUUGAGGAAUUGAGAAAACUGUUUGUUUCUCAACACAUUUUCCAGACCGAUCGCUUGCACUCUGCGGAUGACUUGUACACCAUACGCCAGAAGCCAGACUAGUCAUUACGUACGUAUGCUAGCCGCUUCAGCCAUGAGUAUUCCCGUUGUGCCAAGACAAACGACAAGACUGUCCUCAAAGCCUUCACGGUAGGCCUACGUGACUGUUUCUUUAAGUACUUGAUCAAUGCCAACACUUGGAAGACUUACUCUGAGGUGAUGGCGCAUGCUUAUAACCAUUCAUCUUCCGAGGCAAGGACAUACCAAGAGAAACCCCCAACAACCAUCCCCUAUCAGCAAGUGGGAAGUGGAAACCAGACCCAUCCAAAUGAGAAGACCUCAACCUUCUUUCACGGCAGCUGUGCCUCCCCCUGCCUUACUUGAUACUUUGCCAAGUCAACAGACAUAUCAAUCUCAGGGCAAAAGGAAAGAUUUCCAUCCUCACUAGUCUCAUUUUAGUAAAAGGAGCAAGGGACACUACCGCGAUAAUCAAGGGUAUCGCCACGAUAAUCUUCGAUCCCAGGCAGUCAACACAGUGGGUCAAGCACGUGUUUGGACAGGCCCUACCCCGAGGUAUAAGGCAUACACACCUUUGAACGCCACAUGUGUGGCCAUUUACCCUAGCAUAUCACACCUGAUACCGAAGCCAAAGCCGAGGCACCCGGAUUACAAGCCCACGAAGAACACGGGCACGUUUUGCUGCUACCAUGAGCAUAACGGCCAUGACAGCGAGAAGUGUAUCACCCUUCGUGAUCAUAUUGAAACUUUGGCACGUGAAGGAAAAAUUGAUCAAUUCCUCCUUCACCCUCCAAAGGGUAACCGUAACCAACGCCAGGUGAAUGUGAUAUAUUCCAUAAGUGGUGGCACACCCAUAUCUAAAUCUUCCAACAAGGCUAUGAAAAACAGUGAACGAGCUUUAAGGCCUGACCACCAAGUGUUUCACGUGGAAGACAUCAGGGGAGGCAAGUAUUAAAAGCCUAACUGGGAUCCAAUAUGUUUCUACUUUGAGGAAGAAAGAGGUAUCAUCUACCAUCACAACGACCCAUUGAUCGUGGAAGCUCACAUAGCUAACCUUGAAGUACGACGAAUCUUGGUAGACACGGGGGCUUCGGUUAAUAUUAUGUUUGCUGAAGCUUUCAGGGCACUUAAUAUAGCUGAACACUUGCUCGAUCGUUCGAUUUCUCCUUUGAUAAGCUUCUCCGGUGAUAUCGUACAACCUUUAAGGAGCAUACACUUACCUUUCACCAUUGGUACAGGCCCUUACACAGUUACCAUUACCACUAACUUCCUGGUGGUUGAUUGCCCAACGGCAUACAAUGUCAUCUUAGGACGCACAGGCAUCAAUGAUCUCAAGGCCAUGGUAUCUACACAUAUGUUGUUGAUGAAAUUUCCAACCCCCUAUGGCAAUGGUUACAUUAGAGGAGAUCAACUUAGUGCACGAUCAUGUUACAACACUUCGAUCAAGCAACAACACCUGCCUGUGCCCAAGGAAACCCUUUCUAUACACGACCAAGUCAUAAAGACCAGCCUAGACUAAGCCAACUUGAAUCUUCACAUUGGCAACACUCAACCCGACGAUCCUCGAGACGAUUCUUUCACCCAGCAAGCACAACAUGAUGAAGAGUUGGAGAAGGUUUCUAUCUCAAAAGAUUAUCCAUAACGCAUGGUGAAGAUUGGCACCACCUUGUCACCACCCAUUCGGUUGGCAUUGAUCUCUUUUUUGUAAGAGAAUAAUGAGGUCUUCGCUUGGUCAUACGAGGACAUGCCAGACAUCUCUCCCAAUAUCAUAUGUCAUCGCUUGAGUAUUGACCUUGAGUAUUGACCCUAAGACCAAGUCGGUGAGACAGAAGCGAAGAUCUUAUAACGUUGAACGAUACGAAACAAUGAAGGCAGAAGUUGAAAAACUUAAAGGCAUAGGCUUCGUCCGUGAAGUCAAUUAUCCAACGUGGGUAGCGAAUGUGUUCCUUGUUAAGAAGAAUCCGACCAAGGAAAGUCUCUUGCUCCAAAACUUCGCCCUUACUUCCAAGCACACUUCAUCAUCGUGCUUACCAAUCAUCCUCUUCGACAGAUACUCCAAAGUCCUGACACUUCAGGACGAAUGAUAAAAUGGGCGAUAACAUUGGGUGAGUUUGACAUCUUCUACCAACCAAAGCAAGCUGAGAAGGCCCAAACAGUGGCAGACUUCAUCGCCGACUUCACAUAUCCUAUUGACAUUGUUUCUACGCCUAAAGAAAUGGUUUCAUUACCCUCGGAAGCUCAAAAAUAGAACCAACAACCCCAACAUGAAGUAUAUAUGUUGAUGGCUCGUCCAACCAACAAGGUUGUGGAGCAGGACUAGUCCUUACGACCCCUGACAAAGUGGCGAUGGAGUAUGCUAUUCGUUUCAAAUUCAAGGCGUCAAACAAUGAGGCUGAAUAUGAAGCCCUCUUAGCAGGCUUACAUUUGGCCAAACACCUUGGGGUUAAACGAAUUGAUAUCUUCAGUGACUCCCAAUUGGUUGUUAACCAAGUCACCAACAACUUUGACGCUAAAGAGCUCCAUGGCAGCAUAUCUGGCACAAACACAAUUGUUGCUCAAGCACUUCCACUACCAGAUCACCCAAAUUAAUCGAGCAGCAAACAGUCAUGCAGAUGCUUUGGCUCGCCUCGCCUCAGCGGUGGAAGACAAGUUUGGGAGAAAAAUUUAGGUCGAAUUGUUGGCAGCACUAAGCACCAUGGUUGCGGAAGUGUGCAACUUACAGCAGGGGGAUAGUUGGAUUACCUCGAUUUAUAGAUUUUUUGCUCAUGACACCCUUCCAAAUGACAAAGUGCAAGCUAAGCAGAUUCGAUACAAGGCUACCCGUUACUUGAUCAUUAAUGACCAACUUUACAAGCGGGGUUUUAACCUACCAUACCUAAGAUGCCUUACACCCGCAGAGGUGGAAACUAUCCUUCGGGAAAUACAUGAAGGAGUCUACGAAGAUCAUGUUGGAUCUCGAUCCCUAGUACACAAGGCUUUUCACCAAGGAUAUUACUGGCCAACACUCCACCAAGAUGCCAUCAGAAUAUCCCGCUCAUGUGAUAAGUGUCAACGCUACGCAACUAUUCCUCACUCCCUCCUGAGCCGCUCACUCCUAUGAUUAGCCAUUGGCCCUUGGCCCAAUGGGAACUUAAUUUGAUUGGCCCAAUGCCUGCAGGGAAGGGCAAGGUUCGCUAUGCAAUUGUUGCAGUUGACUACUUCACAAAGUGGGCCGAAGUAGAACCUUUGGCAACCAUUAUUGAGGCAAAAAUAGAAGACUUCAUAUGGAAGAACAUCCUUUGUAGAUUCGGCAUUCCCAAUGCGAUAGUCACUGACAACGGGCUACAGUUCGAUAACAAUAAGUUCAGGAUGUUCUACUCUAAGUUCAACAUCAACUUAUGUUUUGCCUCCCCAACUUAUCCCCAGUCUAAUGGACAAGUUGAAGCCAUCAACAAAAUAAUCAAGCGAACUUUGAAAACCAGCUUGGACGAGGCUAAAGGUUGUUGGCCAAAAUUUGUACCCCAAGUUCUUUGGUCAUACCGCACUUCGUAUCAGACAUCAACAGGAGAAACCCCAUUCUCACUUACCUUUGGUACAGAGGCAGUUGUCCUAGUUGAGCUUGAGCAAGCAACGUUCCGAGUCCAGAACUACGUGCAAAGCGAAAAUGACAAACAACUUACCUUCAACUUAGAUCUAGUCGAGGAACAUAGAAACCAGGCUCACUUGAGAAAUGUCACCUACAAGCAGCGCAUCUCCAACUACUAUGAUUCAAGGGUCAAACCUCGUUAUUUCAAAGUGGGGGACUGGGUAUUGAAGAAAACAUUUCUCUGCGACAGAGUCCCGAUUAAAGGAACACUUAGUCCAAACUGGGAUGGACCGUUUGAAGUUGUUGGCAUCAGUCGCCUUGGCUCCUACAAGCUAAGAAGCUCCGAUGGCAAGACCCUUGGCCAUCCAUGGAACGCUGAUCACUUGAAGUACUAUUACAAGUAAAGUCACAUUGUACAAGUGUUAAGCUUCAGCUGUUCGGUAUCCUAUGUAACGAAGACUAUUUGGCAUGAAUUCAAUAAAAAGGUGAUUUAGACAACUUGGUCCUAAUCCUCUUACAUUCCUAGUAAUGAAACACUAGGGUUCAAAGUUUCAACAUGAAUGCUUCCAACAUGAAACAAAGUCUAUGUUAACAAGACUAUAUAAAUAUACGAACAGCUUCACAGUAUAUUCGUUCAAUCAUACAUUCCAACACAUUCAUACAUAAGCCAACUGUGCUUCGAAAGGGUUCAACAUACUUUGUGUCAUUCGACACUUGCUACAAUGUGCCUCGACAUCUUGCCUUUAUUCUCACCAACCAGAUGAUGAAAUGUGAAGAAGGAACUCAUCUUCAUGCCACCAACCAGGUGAUGAAAUGUACAACCUGUACUCUCGGUGAUGAAAUGUACAACCCGUACUCUUCUUCAUGCCACCAACCAGGUGAUGAAAUGUACAACCCGUACUCUAAUAUAAUUUGGUAACUUGCCACUCAUGCCACCAACCAGGUGAAGAAUGAACUCAUCUUCAUGCCACCAACCAGGUGAUGAAAUGUACAACCCGCACUCUCCUUUAUGCCACCAACCAGGUGAUGAAAUGUACAACCCGUACUCUAAUAUCAUUUGACAACUUGCCAUUCAUGCCACCAACUAGGUGAUGAAAUGUAUAACCCUUACUCUCCUUUAUGCCACCAACCAGGUGAUGAAAUGUACAACCUGUACUCUCCUUCAUGCCAUCAACCAGGUGAUGAAAUGUACAACCUGUACUCUAAUAUCAUUUGGCAACUUGCCACUCAUGCCACCAACCAGGUGAAGAAUGAACUCAUCUUCAUGCCACCAACCAGGUGAUGAAAUGUACAACCCGUACUCUCAUUUAUGCCACCAACCAGGUGAUGAAAUGUACAACCCGUAUUUUCCUUUAUGCCACCAAUCAAGUGAUGAAAUGUACAACCCGUACUUUAAUAUCAUUUGGCAACUUGCCACUCAUACCACCAACCAGGUGAUGAAAUGUACAACCUGUACUCUCCUUCAUGCCACCAACCAGGUGAAGAAGGAACUCAUCCUCGUGCCACCAACCAAGUGAUGAAAUGUGAUGAAAGGUGAUGAAGGAACUCACCUUCGUACCACCAACCAAGUGAUGAAAGCAACUCACCAUUCAUUCCACCUACCAGAAGACGAGUGGUACAACUUGUACAUGUGAACUCCUAGCAUUCAUAAAUAAUCAAAAACCCUUAAGCUCAACAACUUAACUAGGGGAGCACUUAUGCCCAACAAGAGUUAUAGUCACCAAUAAAGCCUUAUUGCAAGCUAACAACAACUUCAGUGCAUGGCAUACGAAGAUUAAGCUAUUCAGCCCUCUUGCAUCUGCUUCAGACAUUUCCCAUAUGUAACAAUGCAAACACUACAACUCGUAGAAAGCUUCACACAUUCUUGAUCAAGACAGUGUGAAGCAAAACCAAUUUAUGGUGCCAACAAGAGCUUCAUCAAAGGAGUUCAACCACAAUUCUCAAAAGCUUCACACACUCUUGAUCAAGACAAUGUGAAGCAAAACCAAUUUAUGGUGCCAACAAGAGAUUCAUCAAUGGAGGGCAACCACAAUUCUCAAAAGCUUCACACACUCUUGAUCAAGAUAAUGUGAAGCAAAACCAAUUUAUGGUGCCAGCAAGAACUUUAUCAAUGGAGGGCAACCACAAGUCUUAAAAGCUUCACACACACUCUUAAUCAAGACAGUGUGAAGCAAAACCAAUUUAUGGUGCCAACAAGAGCUUCAUCAAUGGAGGGUAACCACAAUUCUCAAAAUCUUCACACACUAUUGAUCAAGACAGUGUGAAGCAAAACCAAUUUAUAGUGCCAACAAGAGCUUUAUCAAUGGAAGGCAACCACAAUUCUCAAAAGCUUCACACACUCUUGAUCAAGACAGUGUGAAGCAAAACCAAUUUAUGAUGGCAACAAAAACUUCAUCAAAGGAGGGCAACUAUAACUCGUAGAAAACUUCACACACUCUUGAUCAAGACUGUUCAAAACAAAUUCAAUUUAUAUGGUUCGUCCAAACCUUCGACUACUACAAGGUGAGGCUUGCAUCACAAUCUCUUGCUCAACAGUGCGGAAGCAAAAUUUGUAUAUGUUGUCUCUCUCACAUUUUCAAAUUUCUAGUUUCCAAAAAAAAAAAUUGGGAAAUUCAACAAAGCUUCAUCAAUGGAGGACAACUACAAAUUCUCAAAAGCUUAAUUCUAUCUUGAUCAAGAUAGUGUGAAGCAAAAUCAAUUCAUGGUACCCAACAAAGCUUCAUCAAUGGAGGACAACUACAAAUUCUCAAAAGCUUCACACUAUCUUGAUCAAGAUAGUGUGAAGCAAAAUCAAUUCAUGGUACCCAACAAAAGCUUCUACUCCAAAGAUUCACCUACAAAGCUUCAACUCCAAAGCUUCACCUACAAAAGCUUCAACACAAAAGCUUCACCUACAAAGCUUCAACUCCAAAGCUUCACCUACAAAGUUUCAACACAAAAGCUUCACCCACAAAAGCUUCACCAACAAACGCUUCACCUACAAAAGCUUCACCAACAAAAGCUUCACCUACAAAAGCUUCACCUACAAAAUCUUCACCCACAAAAGCUUCACCUACAAAAGCUUCACCUACAAAAGCUUCACCCACAAAAACUUCACCCACAAAAGCUUCACCCACAAAAGCUUCACCCACCACAAAAGCUUCACCUACAAAGCUUCACCUACAAAAGCUUCACCAACAAAAGCUUCACCCACAAAAGCUUCACCCACCACAAAAGUUUCACCUACAAAGCUUCACCUACAAAAGCUUCACCCACAAAAGCUUCACCCACCACAAAAGCUUCACCUACAAAGCUUUAACACAAAAGCUUCACCUACAAAAGCUUCACCCACAAAAGCUUCACCCACCACAAAAGCUUCACCUACAAAAGCUUUACACUAUCUUGAUCAAGAUAGUAUGAAGCAAAAUCAAUUCAUGGUACCCAACAAAACUUCAACCUCAAAGCUUCACCUACAAAACUUUAACACCAAAGCUUCACCUACAAAGCUUAAAAUAUAUAUAUAUAUAUAUAUAUAUAUAUAUAUUUUCGAAAAUUCAAAAAUUCGAAAAUUCGAAAAAAAAAUUGCCUAGGCCUCCUCUUCUUUGGGCCUAACAACUUUCAUAACAAAUAUAUAUGAAUGAGGAGUUUUGGGCUACCACUUAGAAAGGAAAUGCCUCAUUCGUCAACUCCCUCGACCGGAGACUUGGGGGACUCCUACCAUAUGCUACUGCACCUUGAUACUCGGAAGUCUCACGACCACUCAGUGACUUGGAUUUUUCAAGUCUCCAACCGAGAAGUUUUUCUCACUCGGGAAAUUAAGGGAGCACUACCUCAACAUACAUGCUUCACUCAUAAAGCUUCAACAUACAAGCUUCAACAAAAGAAAAAAUUCAAAGAAUUUAGUGAAGAAGGCCUUGGUGUAUUUAGCAUAAUACGUUGAAAUGAAGUAAAGCUUGUUUGUUGAUACCUCCGCUAAGUUACAAAUAUGUACAUAUACAUAAAUCAAAAUAAACAAACAAGAGGGAGUAUUCACAAAGGUUGCUCUGGAGAAGUCUUAGCAAUCGGCAGAGUCCCAAAAAGAGAAGGCACCGAAGGGUGAUUAUUCGAAGCCUCAGUAUUGGGCAGAACCCCAAAAGGAGAAGGCAUUGAAGGUUGAUCAUUUGGAACUUCAUUACGCGGUACAGCCCCAGAAGACGAAGGCAAUAAAUGCCUUUGGAACAAACCCACAAACCUCUGAUGAUCAAGUAAAAUCUGACCAUCAGAUUCCUACAGCUAGUCAAGGUUCAUCUUCAUGUUUGUAACGUAGUCAUGUGCGAGUCUGUGCAACUGUUUAUUUUCAUGCUUGAGCCCUCUGAUCUCCUGUUUGAGACUUAUCACUUCAGCCGCCAAUGAUUCAACUUGGCGGGUUCGAGCAAAUAGGCGUUGGGCCAUAUUAGAAAUAGAACCUGCACACUGAACACUGAGAGCCAAAGAAUCCUUAACAGCCAACUCAUCAGACCAUUUGGAAAGUAGUCUGUUAUCUUUGGGUGUGAGAAUGUUCCUUGCCACCACCACAGCUGUCAUAUCAUUCUUUAUCACAGAAUCCCCAACAGUAAUUGGACUAGUAGGGGAUAAGAAGGAUGAGCGCCAUAUAUUGUCUUGAGAGGGCAUGACUGCCUCUUCACCAAAGUUCAAGUCAAAAUGACGGUCGGAUGGGCCAGACAUUCUUAGAAGUAAUGAAGGAGAAAUGAGGUGCAAUAAAUCUUUGAAGUACAAAAAUAAGGAGAAAAUUCUUACAACCAAUAACUCUAUGAACGUACUUCUUGCACACAAUUGGUGCCCCUAUAAAAGAAAGCGCAACAGGGCCAUUGGUUCAAAAAUCGAAGAGGCACCACUCUUCGGAUUUCGAGAAGCAGAUUUUCCUGAGUAAAAUAUGUCGACAAUCCUUACACGGAACAACAGCUCCUCAGGUACCACUGAUAACUUUGCCAAAGAUCUUUGACAAAGUUUAGACACAUAAAUUUUGAAGGUCCAGGUACCCUACUAUUACCCACAAGGGUAAAGGAACAACACCACUACUUGAUAACUGGAAAGUCCAUAUGUGUGUCAACCUCCGUGCUCCAUGGCAAGGCAGACUGGCAAAAAUGCCCAACCUUUACUCACAUUCGAGAAAACACUCCCAACAAGAUUGCUUGCUCAAAAAUUGAAGAGGCACACUCUCCGAAUUUCGAGAGCCAGACUCCUAACAGGAUUACUUGCUCAAAAAUCGAAGAGGCACUGCUCUCCGAAUCUCGAGAGCCAAACUCCCAACAGGAUUACUUGCUCAAAAAUCAAAGAGGCACCGCUAUCCGAAUCUCAAGAGCCAGACUCCCAACAUGAUUGCUUUCUCGAAAAUUGAAGAAGCACCGUUAUCUUAAUCUUGAGAGCCAGAUCCCCGACAGGAUUGCUUGUUCGAAAACCGAAGAGGCACCGCUUUCCGAACUUCGAGAGCUAGAUUUCCUUGGAUAAAGCUUAUCUGCAAUCUUCACACGUAACAUCAGCUUUCCAGAUACCACAGACCACUUUUUCAAAGUGCUCUGACAAAGUUAAAACAAGUGAAUCUUGCAGCUCCCACUACAUUACUAUGACCGAGAAGGGUAAAGGAACAACAUUACCACUCGUUAUUGGGACAAUUCCUAUAUAUGUCGACCUUCAUCCUCCACAGCCAGGUAGACCUGCAAAUAAAAAAAAUUCUUAACUUUUCUUCACAUCCGAGAGGGCACUUUCAGCAGUCUCUCGAAAUACUCAACUUCUUUUCCCCCCCGAUAAUACCUCUGCAAACAAGCCACACCAUAGCAAGAGUAUCUCAUAUCAUCAGGGUUAAAAGCAAAAGUAUACCAUAUCAUGAUUUUCCAUGUCUUUUCCUUUGGCCUUGUUCUUACCUACAAGAUAAGGAGAAAAGAGCAAUCGGUCAGCACUUAGAAUCAAGCUUCCAGUCAGGAACUGACUGCCUGGAACCCCUUGCCUGAUUACUUACCUGGCAUUGCUCUCGAGUACUCAUCUUCAACAUCUUAUGCUUCCAGAGAAGAUAAUGCAUCUGCCUGAGGAACUGAUAGGGCAAGUGAGAAGGAUACAAGGAAGCAUGUGGAGCUAAACGUAACAGAACACGUGCCGAUACAUCCACUACUGUGUCAACAGCAAAAGUAUCCCAUAUCAUCAGGGUCGAUCGUACUCUAGAUUUGAUAGACUUGUUUUGACUCUCAAAUUCUUGAGUCGGCCUUAUACUCUGGAGGAAACCAGAAAACCCUCCAGCCCAGUUUAAGAAUAAGCCUGUGGAAAGUUACUUCUUUAAAAGCAAAAGUAUCUCAUAUCAUCUCUUCUCCAUUUGCUUCUCCUUAUCCUUGUUGCUGUUUAUGACACAAGGAGAAAGAGAACAAUCAACCGGAAGCCGAAGUCGAACCUCCGAUCCAGGUUGCUUGCUUGGAAGUCUGAUUGCUUACCUUGUUUGUUACCUCCUUUGGCAAAUCUCCUAGCUCGACGACUUGGGGGACUCCUACUAUAGGGGUUGUAUCACACUUGUCCAAUCCCGAAACUAUAAGUAAGCUUCAAGUGAAAUUGAUACAUUACCUUAUGCAUCUUCAUCGGUUAAAGAUACCACCCCUGGAUGGAGGAAAAGUACUUCCAGAGAAGAUGCCACAUCUACAUAUGAGACAGAUAAGGCAAGUGAAAAUGAUACCACACUUUGGUACUUAGAAGUUUUGUGAUUACUCAAUGGCUUGGAUCUUACAAGUCCCUAACCGAUGAGCUUCCCUCACUCGGGAACUUAGGGGAGCACUAUUUGUACCAUACUUGACCAAUCUCGAAACUACUGAGCACCGGUCAACGUUAUACUGUCAAGGACCCAGAAGAGUUUCUCUCCAACCAGAAGGCCAAUCAUAGCGCGACACGUGUCGACAUCAGAAGCCAAUCAUAACGAGACCCGUGUCAACAUCUGAAGCCAAUCACAACACGAUACGUGUAAAUGUCAAAAUGAAACUAUAAACUCUCUUCUAUAAAUAGAGAUCAUUCUCUCACAAUAUUUCCUAAUGUCAUUUGUACUAAAUCAUUCACUAGUACUCUCUAAAGGAGAGCUUGAAGCUAUGCACUUGUGUAACCCUUCACAACUAAUGAGAACUCCUCUACUCCGUGGACGUAGCCAAUCUGGGUGAACCACGUACAUCUUGUGUUUGCUUCCCUGUCCCUAUCCAUUUACAUACAUAUUCACAUUAGUGACCGGAGCAAUCUAGCGAAGGUCAUUAACUUAACACUUUCUAUUGUACCAAAAUCCUCACUGAUUUUGUGCAUCAACAUGUGUUAUUAUUAACAUUUCAAAAAUCUUAUUGUGCGUCCUACUAUCAAUUUUUUCAUUUUAAAUAUACAAAAUUUUGAAGUAUACAAUGAGAUAUUUGGAGUCCCGAUAACAACUCCAAUUCAAAAUAUAUACUCAUAUUUGGGGUAGUUCUAUCCUCCACCUAAUAUUGUUAGAAAUGCUUCCUUAUUUGAAUAAUGGAAACGGAAGUACUAGAGGUUUCGCUCUUUAAUGCAUCCUUUAAAUCGACCACACUUUUAAAUAUUUUCAUGUGGCAUCGCAUGAUUGAUUUUGAAACCGCCACCUUAGCAUACGUAAUGCAUCUCUCAGCAGAGAUGCCACGUAGCAACUCGAUUGUUGUGAAGGUGAAGAAUUGGAUUAGGAUUUAGGAUUGAAUGAGAAUUCUUCAGAUAUAAUAUUAGGAAACAUUUUUGUUCACCACCCUUAACUAUAGGGUAUGCUCAUCACCCAUCUAAUAGCUUUGACAUGUGUCAUUUGACUUAACUAUAGUUAGUUUUUAAUUAAUUAUAUUAAAUGAGAUAUGGUGCACUUCACUCAAGGAGGCCAAAUUUUUGGGGUGUUACUAUCCCCACCCCCUUAUUUACUUCUCACACAUUCGUUGUUAAUUUAUGUCCUUUGAUCGCCAUCACUUCAUCCGUUCCGACAAUCGAAAAUUAAGUUGGUGAGUGCUACUUGGGUUUUUGUUGAUUUCUGAAAGUAUGCUUUUAUAUUACCAUUGGAUUAGUUUUUGGUGACUUUUGAUCACUCUAUUAAUUGGGUUUUCAUUUCAUGACACUACAACAAAAUUGGUCUUUUGCUGUGCACAAAGAGCGUCGUAAAUGGUUAUUUACAGCUUUCCAUUAUAAAAGUGUUUUGGCCAACGAUUAAAGUCGUUGGAAAUGUUAAUAUUUAAGGAAGAUAUGGUGAUUUGUUGAAGGGGAAUGAAAUUAUAAACUAUGAUUACGGUUUGCCAUUAUAAUGAGAAUGGUGGGUGAAUAUGAAUGAAAUUAUGGAAUGAAAUUUUUGAAUUCAUUUAAUAUAAAUGCUUUCCCAACUGAGUUUCUUCGUUUGAUGAAAAUAAUUGACGGGAAAGGUUGAUAAUUAUAAACUUGAUUGGUUGGUUUACCAUUAACGCAUUAUGGUAUGAAAUUCCGAUAUUUUGUUAGCCACGUUAGUCAUGGCUUGAGAUUUGGCAUGUGACUUUGUCAAUGUGAGAUAAGUUAGUUCUAUGACUGAGACUAUCUUUAAAUUGAUACAUGAACUGGUUGCAUAAUCUGUUUUGGUGAGAAAUUGGGAACAAAUUGGUUGAAUGUGACAUGUUGACUAAAGUUUAACCCUUCAUUUGUAAGAAAGAAAAUAACUGCUGCCAUGAUAGCUAUUCUUGAUUCAAGGAUUGUUUUCACAACUUUCACAUUGAUACCUAUGAUCUCAUUCCUUGUGUAGUAAAAUAUGACAUAGGUAUGCUCUAAAAACAACACUAAAGGAAUGUCAAAAUUUGUUUUUGAGCAAAAGUAACCAUAUAACAGAUGAUAUGGAAAUAAUUUGAGUCAAAUUUGAUCAAUGACUCAUAAUUCGGUUCAUUUGUGAUCACUUGGUAUUCUUCUUUCCAUUACCUAGUGAUGUGAUUGGAAAUUCCAAUAAUUUUGGUUGGAAUUUUGGAACUUGAUUUGUCAAUUUUAAUCGUUGGUUGAAAUUUUAAUAUUCAUUUAGCCAACAAGACUUACGGCUUAAGGUGGAUAUUAUUUUGCAAGGGAAUGUGGCUAGAAAUUUUGAGAAAGAAUCGUAGUUACGACUAUGUAUAGCCAAUGAUGGUGGAUGGUUUACCAAUGAUUGUAAUUAUUAUGUUAGUAUAUGUCUAACCAAUAGUAAAUGUGAUUUGAUAAUUUAGUAAUUAUUUUAAGUUAUGAAGACUGCGGCUUGAUGUUUGAUAAAUAUUUUGUCAAAGUGUAUGGCUAGAAUUUAUAAUAUUUAUUAUGCUAAUAAAUGUUGCUGGGAAUCUGAGUAUACGGGUGAGAAUCAUGAUGAUCUAUCUGUUAAUUUAUUUGUUUUGAGUUGAAUAAACUCGUAGACUGAGGUUAUGAUCUUAUUCACCUUAAAUGGAAUAAUGGGAAAUGCUUGUAAUUACAAAAAUUGGUUGGUAUGGUUGCCAGAAUUAUGAGUAUAUUGAUGAAUUCUUGUUAGUAGUGCCAUUCUUUGUGAUUGUGCAAAGAUUGGUGGUGAAGUCGUGCUGAGACGAUGAUAAUUGUAUUUGUGAGUUGUGAUUCAAUGUUGUCGAGCUUGAUGUUAAUUAAAUUUGAUUAUAAUUAAAGAGUAAAUGCCAUUUCAAAAUUGUCAUUCGGUUGAAUUGUGGCAUUGGUGGAUAUGGAAUUGAUACUAAAAUUUCGAGGAUGAAAUUUUUUUAAGGGGGGAAGAAUGUGAAAUCUCAUUCCUGGAUUUCAUUAUUAUAAUCUACGUAUUGGUAUUAUAGAGAUUUUAUAUUAUUUUUCGAGAAAUUAAUUAUUUAAAAUCCGUAGACCAUUUGAGGUCACAAUUUAUAUUGUUGAUAUCGAGAUCACAAAUGCAUAGGCGAAAGCCGUUUACGAGUCCGGAUUAUAACGGUAUAGUUACGGACGUUUGAAGUUGUUGCUAAAAGAAAAUGAAUGAAAAGAGAAGAAAAAACCACAGGAGUGGCUGAAAGAAAGAAGGAAAAAAAAAAAAAAGCCACGGGAGUUGCGAGAGAAAAGGAGAAGAAGAAGAAAAAAAAAAAGGGAACAUACCCCCUCUUUUCGCCAAUCAUCACCUGAAAUCACCACCACACUCCUUCUCCUUCGAUAUUCAUUCAAGAUUGGACGAAAAUUGGGUUGAAUUUGGUGAAACUCGCACCAGUGGGUGCAAGGGUUCCUUGUCUUCAAUCCGCCAUUUUGGAAACGAUUUCCUUCGAUCUCCACCACCAUUGGACUCCCCUUGAGCCUUGGAACAAACACUAGUACAAAAACAUGUUUGCGCGACGCAGCAAAUUUCGUCGCGCAAAGUAUAUUUGCGUGACGCUAAACACAAAACGUCGCGCAAACAGACUUUGCACGACGAAGGCUUGCGUCGCGCAAAGGCUGUUUGCGCGACAUUUUAUGUGUUGCACAAAAUUUUGGCGCCAAACCAUCCCAACUUUAUGUGACGCAGGUGCACCUACGUCGCGCAAAACAGCUUUGUGCGACGUAAUUGAACCUACAUCGCACAAAGCUGUUUUGCGCAACGUAUGUGGUGUCGCGCAAAGUCGACGACUUUUUUUUUCUAAAAUAACCACACAUAAGGGCCUUUUUCUUCACACUCAACCUCUCUCUUUCAGACUCUCCAUCUCUCUCAACCUUCACCAUCUUCACCUUCAAGAAUUGUAUUUAUUUGAUUAAUUAAUUAACUAUUUAUUGAUUACAUGUAUGUUUGGAUUUUUUUUAUUUUUGUGUGUUUAUGUUUUUCUUUAAUUAUCUUUGUCAAUGCUUAUUUUUAAGAAGUUGAGUUUUGGUUUUGAACAAUUGAAUGAGUAGAAUGAAUGACUAGGAGUAUGAAGGAUUUUGAUAGGUUUAGGGAAACAAAAGCUAAGAAACUGUAAGCUGCUAAGUUAACUUGAUCUAAUUUAGGGAUAGAUUGAUGUGUGCUAAAAAAUGAUUUCAUUUCUCACCAAAUUGGGAGGAGGAAACUAGAAUGUUAGAGAUUUAGAGAAGAAGCCAGUUUAUAGCUUUGUGAAACCACUAUUCUAUUACGUGGUUAGCAAUCAUUUUAGGUGUAGUCUCUACCCUUUACGAUUUUGAAUACGUGGUCUCAUCAUAUAGGUCCUUAAACAAUAAUUUUAAGGCAGGAGUGGAAGAGGUAUACAAUAAGUUAAAACUGUGGAACAUAGGAAAAUAAAAAAUAUAAAAAAAAAAACUUUGCGCAACGCAUGUGUACCUCCGUCGCGCAAAGUUUUUGUUUUUUUGUUUUUUUUUCCUUUUGCUUUUCUUUUGGGGUUCUUGCAUUGCCUUUUUCUUUUGUGGUAGCCACUUGUGUAAAUAUUUUAAAUUGACGAUCGAAUUAGUUCCUUGUAUUCAUAUAGGAUCCAAGAGUGUAGCUGUAAAAAAUCAUCAAAAUCGAAGUUAAAAUAACCGUUAACUCGUGAUUUUUUUCUUUUAUAACCGUCGAAAGGUUUUGUCCCUUUACUUGAUCUCUAAAGGUUUGUUUUUUACCAUUUUUGGCGUAUGCGAUCUCAAAGCAUAUACAAAUAAGUUUGAUGAUUGGAUCGUUGACACUGGUUUUGUACGAUGUGUAUCCCAUUAAAACAAUAGAUUCCCUAAUACUUAUAUUUUAUUUAUACUUUCAUCAAGUAUAACAUAAGAUUUUGUGGUAUCCCCUUGUGUAAAUGUUUUAAAUUGACGAUCAAAUCAGUUCCUUGUAUUCAUAUGGGAUCUAGGAGUGUAGUUGUAAAAAAUCAUCAAAAUCGGAGUUAAAAUAACCGUUAAAUCUUGAUUUUUUUCGUUUAUAACCAUCGAAAAGUUUUGUCCCGUUACCUGAUCUCUGAAGGUUUUUUUUGCCAUUUUUGGCGUAUGCAAUCUCAAAGCAUAUACAAACAAAUUUGAUGGUUGGAUCAUUGAAACUAGUUUCGUACAAUGUGUAUCCCAUUAAAACGAUAGAUUCUCUAAUACUUACAUUUUAUUUAUACUUUCAUCAAGUAUAACAUAAGAUUUUGUGGUAUCCACUUGUAUAAAUGUUUUAAAUUGAUGAUCGAACCAAUUCCUUGUAUUCAUAUAGGAUCCAGGAGUGUAGCUGUAAAAAAUAUCAAAAUCAGAGUUAAAAUAACCGUUAAAUCGUGAUUUUUUCGUUUAUAACCGUCAAAAAGUUUUGUCCCGUUACCUGAUCUCUGAAGUUUUAUUUUCUGCCAUUUUUGGCGUAUGUGAUCUCGAAGCAUAUACAAACAAAUUUAACGGUUGGAUCGUUAAAACUAGUUUCGUACAAUGCGUAUCCCAUUAAAACGAUAUAUUCUCUAACACUUAUAUUUUAUUUAUACUUUCAUCAAGUAUACCAUACGAUUUUCCGGUAUCCACUUGUGUAAAUGUUUUAAAUUGACGAUCGAACUAAUUCCUUGUAUUCAUAUAGGAUCCAAGAGUGUAGCUGUAAAAAAUCAUCAAAAUCGAAGUUAAAAUAACCGUUAACUCGUGAUUUUUGUUUUAUAACCGUCGAAAAGUUUUGUCUCGUUACUUGAUCUCUGAAGUUUUGUUUUUUGCCAUUUUUGGCAUAUGCGAUCUCAAAGCAUAUACAAAUAAGUUUGAUGAUUGGAUCGUUGACACUGGUUUUGUACGAUGUGUAUCCCAUUAAAACAAUAGAUUCCCUAAUACUUAUAUUUUAUUUAUACUUUCAUCAAGUAUAACAUAAGAUUUUGUGGUAUCCACUUGUGUAAAUGUUUUAAAUUGACGAUCGAAUCAGUUCCUUGUAUUCAUAUAGGAACGAGGAGUGUAGUUGUAAAAAAUCAUCAAAAUCGGAGUUAAAAUAACUGUUAAAUCUUGAUUUUUUCGUUUAUAACCGUCGAAACGUUUUGUCCCGUUACCUAAUCUCUGAAGGUUUGUUUUUGCCAUUUUUGGCAUAUGUGAUCUCGAAGCAUAUACAAACAAAUUUGACAGUGGGAUCGUUGAAACUAGUUUCGUACAAUGCGUAUCCCAUUAAAACGAUAGAUUCUCUAACACUUAUAUUUUAUUUAUACUUUUAUCAAGUAUAAAUAAGAUUUUGUGGUAUCCACUUGCGUAAAUGUUUUAAAUUGAUGAUUGACCCAAUUCCUUGUAUUCAUAUAGGAUCUAGGAGUGUAGCUGUUAAAAAUAAACAAAAUCGGAGUUAAAAUAACCGCUAAAUCGUGAUUUUUUCGUUUAUAACCGUCGAAACGUUUUGUCCCGUUACUUGAUCUCUGAAGAUUUUUUUUUUCCAUUUUUGGCGUAUGCGAUCUUGAAGCAUAUACAAAUAAUUUGACAGUUGGAUCGUUGAAACUAGUUUUGUACAAUGCGUAUCCUAUUAAAACAAUAAAUUCCAUAACACUUAAUUUUAUUUAUACUUUUAUCAAGUAUAACAUAAGAUUUUGUGGUAUCCACUUGUGUAAAUGUUUUAAAUUGACGAUCGAAUCAAUUCCUUCUAUUCAUAUAGGAUCCAUGAGUGUAGUUGUAAAAAAUCAUCAAAAUCGGAGUUAAAAUAACCAUUAAAUCUUGAUUUUUUCGUUUAUAACCGUCGAAAAGUUUUGUCCUGUUACCUGAUCUCUGAAAGUUUGUUUUUUUCCAUUUUUGGUGUAUGCGAUCUCGAAGCAUAUACAAACAAAUUUGACGGUUAGAUCGUUGAAACUAGUUUCGUACAAUGCAUAUCCCAUUAAAACGAUAGAUUCUCUAACACUUAUAUUUUAUUUAUACUUUCAUCAAGUAUAACAUAAGAUUUUGUGGUAUCCAUUUGUGUAAAUGUUUUAAAUGGGUGAUCGAACCGAUUCCUUGUAUUCAUAUAGGAUCCAAGAGUGUAGCUGUAAAAAAUCAUCAAAAUCGGAGUUAAAAUAACCGUUAAAUCGUGAUUUUUUUCGUUUAUAACCGUCGAAAAGUUUUGUCCCGUUACUUGAUCUUUGAAGGUUUGUUUUUUUUCCAUUUUUGGCGUAUGCAAUUUUGAAGCAUAUACAAACAAGUUUGACAAUUGGAUCGUUGAAACUAGUUUUGUACAAUGCGUAUCCCAUUAAAACAAUAGAUUCCCUAACACUUAUAUUUUAUUUAUACUUUCAUUAAGUAUAACAUAAGAUUUUGUAGUAUCCACUUGUGUAAAUGUUAUAAAUUGAUGAUCGAAUCAGUUCCUUGUAUUCAUAUUGGAUCCAGGAGUGUAGUUGUAAAAAAUCAUCAAAAUCGUUGUUAAAAUAACUAUUAAAUCGUGAUUUUUUCGUUUAUAGCCGUCGAAAAGUUUUGUCCCGUUACUUGAUCUCUGAAGGUUUGUUUUUGGCCAUUUUUGGUGUAUGCGAUCUCGAAGUAUAUACAAACAAAUUUGACGGUUAGAUCGUUGAAAUUAGUUUCGUAAAAUGCGGUAUCGCAUCAAGUUCAAUAGUAUAUAUAUUUAUUAAGUAGAUUUAAAUUUAUUUAUGUUUUACAUAUAAUACUUAAGAAAUUGAAUGAUAUGUAUAUUUAUUAAGUAGCUACCAAUUUAUUAGUCAGGUUUUUGUUAGUAAAAUAUAUUAUUAUGGGUUUUAUGUAAAAAUAAUUAAAUUUGAAGUGAGUAAAGUCACAUUUUUAGUAAUUUUUAUAAUAAUUUCUUUUAAAGAAAAAAUACCUUGUGCGACGCCUUUAUGCUCGCACAAAAACACUUUGCGCGACAUCGAAUGGUAUACCUACGUCGCGCCAAUUUUGAAUAUUUUGGCACAAGUGUAAAAAAUAAGCGCCAGUUUUGAUAAUUUUGGACAAAAUCUUCCCAGACCCCUUCGCUCUUCACGCCCUCCUCUUCUUCCCAGACCCUUUUUCUCUCUCUCUCACUUGGCCUCUCUCUUCCGUAGCCUUCCUCCUCUUCGCUCAUCACACCCUCUUUCCCGUAGGCUUCCUCCUCUUCGCUCAUCACGCUCGAACCCCAAAUCUUGAACCCCAAAUUGCACCAAUCUCGAACCCACUGUCGGUUGUCUCUCUCCCUCUUAUUCUAAACGACGGGCAGCCACCACCCCCUUCGUCGUGCUCGUCUCUCUCCUUGAAAGUAAGUCUAAUUACAAAUUAUGGAAUUGUGAAAUUAAGGAUUUUGAUUGUGAAUUGAGAUGAAUUUUAGAAUUUAGGGUUUUAAUUUGGGAUAAAUUACUAGGGCAUGGGAUGGAUUUCAAGGUUUAAAAAAUUGUGAAUGGGAAUUAGGGUUUUAAUUUUGAAAUGGGGAUUGAAUCAGGUUUUUAUUUGGGAUAAAUUAUUAGGAAAUGGGCUAAAUUUCAGGGUUUAAGAAUUUCUCUCUAUGUAUGUUAAUAGUUAUCGUUACAGUUUAAGAGACUGGAAUCAUUGUAGCCGUUCAAGGCCAAAAACUAACUGAAAUAGCUGUCAUGAUCGAUACAGGGGAAUUUGGUUUGUAUUUAUAAUUUCUGUCCUGGAUUAUGUUAGGUUGAUUAUGUGUGUGUUAUCAUUGCUUCAAGAAGAUUGUGUUAAUAGUCAAAAAAUCGUGAGCAUAGUACAAUGAUAUCUGCACUGUAUGGGUAGGAGAAUUUAUAGAAGGAAUGAGGGUUCUAGAUAUCAUUAAAAGGCCAUUACAGAUUCUUUUUGACAAUACUGCUACAGUUUUCUAUUCUAAGAACAACAAGAGGUCUUCAGGAACCAAGCACAUGAAUAUCAAGCACAGAUUGGUCAGGGAAAAGGUCAAGACAUUUACAUUGGUUCAUUAUUUAUGGAAUUAAUUUCGAGCUUUGAUAUGCUGAGUUAGUAGGAGUAUGAAAUGGUUAUAGUUCGAGUUAAAUAAGCUAGUUUUCUCACAGAACCUUAAGUUAUAGUUUGUUUCUAAAUGGUUUGAAUUCAUGCAUUUAUCUUCAUUGUUAGUCGUUUUUGUCUAGUUUUAAUUACAUGUCUUGUUUGGUGAAUAUAUCUAUAUCUGCACUUGAUGAAAUUACAGUUAACCAUCUUAGUAAAAGGUUCCUCUUUUAAAUUGCACUUGUAAUUACCAUACCAAAAUCUUACAGUGGAAUCUCAACAUAAAAAACUGAGAUAAUUUGAUUAUCCCCAAGCCCCAAACGCCCUCCCCACCCCCUUCGCCUCUUUUGUGCUCCUUUGGCUCCUUUUUGGUCGUUUUGUCUCUUCAUACUUUGGUCAUGUAUUCAUAUAUUUCUGGUACAUUGUUGUAGGUGAAUACACACCUCAUGCCCCGCCCAAUAUUACUUACUAGGCAUGGAGAGAGUAAGGAUAAUGUUAGAGGCAGAAUUGGAGAAGACAAUCCUUUGAGGUUUGUCUUUGCUGUUGAUUAUCUUGAUUAACAACACUGGUUUAUUCAUGUUAAAAUAUGCAAAGUAUAGUAACCGCUCAAACUUAUCUGAUCCUUAAUUAUUUUCUCGUUUUUUUACACUUAAGUAUGCUGCUAUUCAUGUUUCUAUUUGCUAACAUACAAUGGUGUUGCUCCCGCCACAGUUUCAUUUCAGUCUAUUAUACAAUUUGGUUUUGCCUCAUUAUAAGACCUAUUCCUUUGAAGGAAGAAGUGACAACCCUAAGGGGUCAGCUUGCGGUCCAUGGCGAGCAGGUUGAGGAGAUGAAGGCCUAUGUCGGGCACAUGAGAGAUCUUGUACGAGCCAUACAGAUGUCCGACCUCCAAAUCUCGCUACCAAUACCUAAUCUUGCUACAUCUUCAACCUUCGAGCCAUUUCACUCUGCCAAUACCCAGUAGCCAUUCCACUUAGACAAUUACUUGUAGUUUUUUCUUUUUUUGUUCAGACAUCUUGUAUGUAUAUUUUCAUAUAUUUUAUAAUUAAAUAAUUUUCUUUGGUUAAUUAAUUAUUGUUUAGAAUUUAAUUACAAUAUUAUUAAAAAUUAAAAAAAAAUAUUUUUGACCAAAACAAAAAAAGGGGUCUCUUGUGCGACAUACGGUGCGUCACGCAAAGAGGCUUUGCGCGACACAUCGUACGUCGUGCAAAGUGGCUUUGCACGAUGCAGGACGUGCGUCGUUCAAAGCAGCUUUGCGUGACGUAGGGGCAUGCGUCGCUUAAAGCCUCUUUGCGCAACGCAUGUUACUUCUUCAUCACGCAAACCUUACCGUCAUUGCUUUGGCACGACGGUUAGUGCGCGACGAACGUGCGUCGCGCAAACCCUUAGGCAACAAUUUUUGACUUUGCACGACGAAGUACCUACGUCGCGCAAAGUGUUUUUUCUACUAGUGAAAGCCCAAUCAGUUGUAGGGGUGAUGAAACACCAAGGAGAUCGAAUUGAAGCACAUCCAAUUUCUAGGGUUUCGGCGGAUUCGUCGUGAAUUGAGGUGUUUCUCGACCAAAUUCAGGUUUAACCCUUCACUUGUUAAUUAAAUGUGCUUUUUAUUAAAGUGUUAUUUUAUUUUUAGCAUCGAUCUAUGUUUAUUAAUUCUGAUUCGACUAUAGCUUGGAAAUGUUUAUGAAAUGUGGUUAGAUAUGUAUGAUCAGUAUGAUGUGUAUGAUUGUUUUUAGGACGAUGUGAACCCAGAAUCUUAUGAGAAGUAUUAUGUAUAACUUUCAUGCUUGUAUGAUAAAAUAGUUAGUGGUCAUGAGAAGUUGAUAGUGCAAGUGAUUCCGUUGAGUAAUGGUCCGGAAUCGUAUCCUUGUUUGGAUUCCGUUGAGUGAUGGUCCGGAAUCCCUUCUACUUUGCUAUUCCGUUGAGUGAUGGUCUGGAAUCAUAUCCUUGUUUGGAUUCCGUUAAGUGAUGAUCCGGAAUCCCUUCUGCUAUGCAAUUCUGUUGAGUGAUGGUCCGGAAUCGUUUCCUGGUUUAGAUUCCGUUAAGUGGUCCAAAGUUGCAUCACUUGACUUGUUGGUUUCUUGGAUUUGAGAUGUAGGCUUGGCUUAACUGUAUCACUCUAGCCUUAGUUUUAGAAUAUUUGUGAGCAAUGGUUUUGAGAAUCUUAUGAAUUGAAUUAGAAAAGUUGUUGGACGUUUAGGUGACUCAUUCAGGAUUUCCUAUGAUUCGAUUAUGAUUUCAUAAAGUAUGAAUUUAGAAGAUAUCGUUAUAGUUGUUAUUAUUUUGGACAAAUUAGUUAAUUAAUGUGGCUAGAGAAUUGUAUUGUGCUUCGUUGGUUCCUUGAUAUGAUAUGUUGUUAAUUGCAGUAUCAUGUUGUGACAUAAUGACUUAUAUAGAAGAUUGAAGGGAAAUCAUGAUUUUCAGGUGGGUUUGUUAUGUAACCCUGAGUCUAGUAAUUUCAUCCUUGUCAAGUUCUAUUGAUUGAUUGAGAAAUGUUAUGCCUUUCGGCUUAAACGGACUGUGACAUAUGUCAAUUAUAGUGCAUGACGAACUACGAAUGGCUUGAUCCCUGUUUAGGGUACAUAGGCAAUCUAACGAGGAGGUUAGAUGCAACCAUAAAGCAUACAAAAAAUUACUAUGCGAUUCGAUUAUCGAAUUAUGCUCUACCCAUAUCCGGGAGGCGGGGUAUGAUAGAUACGAGUAUUAGGUGACGUCACGUGUCGAUCCUAGACGUAUGUCGGGAUCGGGGCGUGACAGAAGUUAUGAACAGCUCUGAAAAUACAGAGUGGGGUAAGGCUAUGGAUGAAGAAAUGAAUUCUCUUGUGAAGAACAACACUUGGGAGUUAGUUCAAUUGCCUCCCAGUAAGAGAGCUAUUGGCUGCAAGUGGGUGUAUACUAAAAAGAAGGUCGUCCAGGAGAAGACAGUGUAAGAUUCAAAGCACGAGUGGUAGCAAAAGGAUAUGAACAAAAGGAAGGUAUUGAUUAUAAUGAAGUAUUUUCUCAUUUUGUGAAGCAUUCAUCUAUUUGUAUUAUGUUAGCCUUUGUUGCACAAUUUAAUCUUGAACUAGUGUUAAGACAACUUUCUUACAUGGAGAUCUUGAUGAAGAAAUUUACACGUCUCAGCCUAAUGGGUAUCAGGUAACUGGAAAAGAGAAAUGGGUUUGUAAAUUGAAUAAGUCUUUAUAUGGAUUGAAGCAAUCUCCAAGACAGUGGUAUUUGAAGUUUGACGAAUUCAUGAGAGGUCAACACUAUUUAAGAAGUCAAUAUGAUCAUUGCGUUUAUUUCAAAAAGUUGCAAAUGGGUCUUUCAUUUAUUUAUUACUCUAUGUUGAUGAUAUGUUUGCAUCGAAGAAUGUUAAGGAGAUUGAAAAGUUGAAAGCACAGAUGAAGCACAAUUUUGAGAUGAAAGAUCUUGGUGAAGCGAAAAAGGUACUCGGUAUGGAAAUUACUCGUAACCGAGAAAAAGGCUUGGGGUAUCUUACACAAAAGCAAUAUUUGUGUAAAUUGCUUCAAUGUUUUGGUAUUAAUGAUGCCACCAAACCUGUAAGUACUCCAAUGGCUCUUCACUUUAAGUUGAGUGCUUUGUUAUCUCCAAAAAACAAUGAAGAGAAGCUGCAGAUGAAGAAUAUUCCAUAUUCUAAUUUGGUUGGUGGCUUGAUGUAUACUAUGGUAUGUUCUCGACCAAAUAUUGCUCAUGCCGUUGGUUUGGUUAGUCGCUAUAUGCACAAUCCAGGAAAAGAACAUUGGCAAGCAGCUAAGUGGAUUCUAAGAUACCUACAUGGGACUAGAGACGUCGACUUAUGUUUUCAGCGAAGUGAUAGCAGUUUUGAGAAUUUUGUGGUUGAAUAUGUUGAUUUUGACUGUGCUAGAGAUUUGGAUAGAAAAAGAUCAACUACUGGCUACUUAUUUACCAUGGCCAAAGGACCAGUUAGUUGGAGGUCUACACUACAAUCCACAGUUGCUUUGUCAACAACGGAGGUCGAAUAUAUGUCUAUUGGAGAAGCUGUAAAGGAGGCCAUUUGGAUACAUGGACUGAUAAAGAAUCUAGGAAUUUAUCAAAAGUAGGUGGAGCUACAUUGUGAUAGUCAAAGUGCUAUUCACUUGUCAAAAUUCCAAGUUUAUCAUUCGAUAUCGAUGUUUGGUUUCAUUUUAUUCGUGAGAUUUUUUUUCCAAAAGAAAGAUUAUUCUUCAGAAAGUUCCAACUGCGGACAACCCAGCUGAUAUGUUAACUAAUGUGCUCAGACCUGCCAAGUUUGAGCAUUGUUUAAGCAUAGCUCAUAUACUAUGUGCCUGAAUAUGUUUGUGAUUACGAAUCUUGCCAAGGUGGAGAUUGUUGACAUGUGGCUCGAUAUAAAUCUUGGUCAAUUACUUUGUAUUGGUUAUCCUUGUUUUUCUCUCCAUCACAAACUUGUUUAUGGCUUUACGUAUUAGAAGGCAAACCAUUUGUUUUGUAAUAAAAGGAGCUCACGUAGAAAUAAUUUGUGUGAGCCAAUUUGUGAGAUUCUUCUUUGUACAUUUGUUAUCUCAAUCAGUUAAUAAAUUGAGAGUUAUUUCUUUCAUUUUAUUUGUUCCAUUUGGUGCUCAAGCACAACAAUUCAUUCAUCCAUUCUUAGUGCAAAAUAAAAAGUUCAUGAGAGAGUUUACUGAUCACAGAAACAAAAUCUACCGAAAACUUAUCACUGGUACGGCCUAAAUCUGGGAUUUCCAGACGUUGGAUGAAUCUAACAAAGGUAUGACUAAAAGAUAUCGUAAAGCACAAAGGAAGAACCAGAUUAAGAAAGAAUAAAGGCUGGGAGUUAGAUGGUGGCUUACUAACAUGAAUUCUGAGAUGGUGAGAAUUAGAGCAAUAUCAUUAGCAUUCAUUUAUCUAAAGACACUGGAUAUUCAACCAAGUACAACAAUUCAGAUAUGGUCCCUGUCUCUACAAGUAUCUGUCUCAAUUAAUUGUUCAAAAAAUUCACCAAGCUUCUUCGCUUCAUUAGACAUUGUCGAACUAGACCCAGGGGGCGUCUCAGAGUCCAACCACAUAUGGGCUAACUUGGCAGAUACCAUUUUCAACCUCGGGGCUCAAAUUCCGAUAACCAUUAAGCUGAUGGGAUAAAUCGAUAGUGAGUUGUCUGCAUUUAUUAUAAGGAAAACUAAUGAAAAGGGCUUGAAAACUUUGAGUUUUAAUGAUAAGGACAAAAUAAAGGGUAAAGUGAAUAGUACUAGGAUUGACUUUUUAGUGUAAAAAUGUGGUUUUUCGUUAAAGUGAACAGUACCGGGUGCUUUUCGUUAAAGUUCCCUUUAUUAUAAGAUGGUAACUAGUAACAAUGUUUUUUGUGGAUUUGCUCUGUGUCGUUGAAGCUAGCACUUAUAGGUCCACUUGGAGAUGCCUCGUCACAAUAUUCAUGUGUUCGUUUCAGGAUUUUCAGUGUUUGGUUGAGUUCUUCCAAAUCUUGCUUGUACACCAAACGAGCCCCACACUUCUUCACCUUAUUCAAGUCUGCUUCUACGUUUACCCCUCCAAUACAACUAAAGUAAGUUUCGAAUAAAAACUGUUCCUGAUGACAAAUUUCACGAGGCAACUGAAAUACCCAAAGGUGUUCUGACAUAAGAGACCCUAUCAUCUUUGAACAAAUCAUAGGGUAAAAGGGUUUUGAUAAAAACUCAAAUUUUAAAUUAAUAUGAUAAAAAUGGGCAGCUGGACCUGGAUUGACCAAGUUUUCCUUAGAAACUUGAAAAACAACACAAAAGGCAAUUCCCAGCCAGUUGGUACAUGAUGCGGGAGGAAGCUCCAUAUUUACUGAGUCUCCCACACUUUGAUUACUGAACCAGUCCGAAAUUUCGCUUCCAGGGAAUACAACCUGUGGCUUUCGGUAAUAAUCCUGUAACCAAAGAACUAUUAUAUAUCUACCAAAAAAAAAAAAAAACUAUUAUAUAUAUCUUGUUGGAAAAUAUUAAGGUCUGUUUGAUAUUCUACUUGAAUCCAACUUUUUUGACUCAAAAACAAUUUUCAAGUUUUAGACCUUAAAACUUGUUUGGUAUGACUAGUUUCAAAAACUGAACUCAAGACUAACUCAAAAAUAUAGUCUAUUUUCUAAAAACAUAGAAAGUAAGUUUUUUGAAUAUUUAAACUUAAACUUUACUCAUUUCUUUUCUCUCCCUCUUCCCCUCUCACUCCAAAUCUCUCUCUUUUCUUCUUUCUCUCUCCUUUUUUUUUUGUUGACCUUUUUCGUGUCUCAUCCAAUCCGUUCUCUUCAUUUUCUCGGUUCUUUCUCUCUCUUCUCUUCAUCUCUAUCUCGUCCAAUCCUCUCUCUUCUUUCUCUUUCAUUCAAUCAUCUUUUAUUUUAUUUCCUCCUCUCUUCUCCUCUCUCCUCUUUCUCCUUCUCUUGUGACUCCCUCUUUUUAGAUUUCUUUGUCUAGUUUAAGUUGUAAGAUUUAAAAAUUUUAAAUCACAAAUCAAUCAAGUUUUUUAGUCUUAAAGAAAAUUGUUUUUAAGAAAUGUUUUGAGAAAUGAUAAAAAAUUUCAAAUAAGAUACCAAACAGGCCCUUAGUAUUUUGGUUUAUUUGAAUGUUUCAUUUUCUGGGCUUAGCCCAUUAGCAUUAGAGUUUUGAUUUCUUACAUUUUAGGAUUAGGGUUAGUUUAUUAUAAAUAGCGUACUUGUUAUUCAGUCAAGAACAAGUUAGUCACGAUGUAAUCUUUUGGAAUUUUGUAGCCGUUUCAGUAUUCUUGUUUGUUUAAUAAUAUUUUUAUUAUUUUGUAAUUUUGUUUGUUGCACGCUCUGAUAUUCAACUUAUGUGUGUGUGUGUGUAUAAAUAGAGAGAGAGAGAGAGAGAGUACCUUGUUCUGAGUGGCAAAUUUUAGAAUCCUAGAGAGUAUUGUAUUAUUAGUCCAACCUUCAUCUUGAACCAAUGCAAUGCAAUUCCGGCAAGUGAAACUAAAAUCAUACAAAUUGGUGAAUCUGUUGCUCAACUUGGAUGUAUUUGACAAACUUCGUAAGGGAGUACAAUCGUCUACAUCUACAUGCAAUUUGCCAUUAGAUGGAAGAGGUGGCAAUUUUUGAAGGCUUUUGCAGCUCGACAGACCAAGAUAAUAAAGCUUAGAAAGGCAUCUAAUGCUUUCAGGUAGAUUGACGAAAUUAUUUUCACCAAGAUCCAAUUUUUCCAAAAAGGACAAGCAACCAAUAUCAUCGGGGAUAUCCCCUUCACAAAGUUUACAAUCUGUUAGAUUUAUGGUCCUCAAAGUGCAUAAACGAUUUAGAUAAGAAAACAUCAAACCCCAACAAGGAGGAGGAUCAGGAGCACUCUUUCCAAGUCCUAAUAUGCGGAGAAGGCCCCACUUGUCCCUUGCUUAAGCAUAUGAUCUGCAUAACAGUAGUUGUUUGAGAUUUUUCAUACCCACAAGCGGCUCUGUCAAUGUGGCUUCCAAUCCAAGAGCCUCAAGUGAUCCAUGUCUCCUGGGAGUUUGUGAAUUUUUGAGCAUUUUCCCACAUAGAGGCGUCUAAGAGACUUCAAAUUACAAAUAGCCCCAGGAAGGUUCAAGAGAUUUUUGCAAUUAAAUAGAUUCAAAUCCUUAAGGCCAACCAAAUGGUCAAUUGAUGAAGGCAUUUUCUCAAUUGCAGUCCCGCUUAAGUGAAGCUUGGAUAAAUUCUUCAUCUGCUUCCUAAAUUCUGGAAUCUUUUUCACAUUUGAGCAGCCACUAAGAUAUAAAGAUUCUAGAGAAUCCAUUUCAACCGCACUUGGGAGGCUCUUAAUGCUUUCACACCAUGCAAGGUUUAGAACUUUAAGUCUUUUGAGGACUGCAAUAGAGGGGUGUAUCUCAACUAAAUUCUUACAUUCAAAAAGAUUCAACUUCACAAGAUUUGGAACACCACUGAAAUCUGGGGUACUAAUCAAAUUUUUGGAGAAGCCAAGAUUGAUAUUUUUCAAGUUGGGCAAGUCCUGUACAACACUGAUAAGGUUCAUAUCCUAUUAGGGAUGGGCAAUGGUUAUGCGGGCAGGUAACCACGGUUAAUUUACCCAUAACCGUUUAUGUUCAUACCCGCAUAACCGUUUACCCGUUGGGUAAUUGCCUAAACGGUUAUACCCAUACCUAUAACCGUUUAUAAACGGUUAACCAUACUCAUAACUGCAUAUCCAUUUAACCGUAACCGUUUAAUACCCGUUUACCCAUUUAUCCUUUUUAACCCGUUUAUCUUUUUUUUUUUUUACCAUUACUCUUUUUUCACCCGUCUACAUGUUUUUUAACAACCUGAAAAUUAAAAAAACUUGUCAUAAUUUUUUUUUUGACAAUUAAACACUGUUAUAGGUACGUUCAUCAUACAUUUCCAUAUUUUAAUUUUUUAAGUCCUUAUACUAUUCCAAUAAUUGAAAUAAUAGUUUACGGACGAUAUUUUAAUUGUUACUAAUGAAGGUAAAUAUAAUAUUUGCUAAGUAUUAUUGGGUUACAAAAAUUGUUUAGAAGACAUUUCUGUCAUAGCAUUUCUGUCAAUUUCACGGUUACCUGCAAGGAAUUUAAAUUAAUUUGGCUAAUUCCUUGAUGAUGAGAAUCAUCAUUCCUGUAGUAGUGUUAUUGAGAGAAUGACCGAUGAAUUCCUUGCAAAUUUAUUGGGUGCUAAGUAUUAUUGGAUCGAGAACAUGGUUUGUGUUAGUUUUACAUAUAUAAAAUAAAUGGGUAAACGGUUACUCGUUUAUAACCGUGGUUAAUACCCAUAACCAUUUAUUUAUCUAAACGGUUACCCAUAACCGUAACCGUUUAAUUUAAAUGGGUGGGUAACCGCGGUUACCCAUAACCAAUGGGUAUUUGCCCAUCCCUAGAUCCUAUACUUAGCUUUUACAACCUUAAAGUUUAUCCAAAAUAAUAAAUAAAUGAUUAUUUUAUAAUUUAUAUAGCAUUUAUUCAAUAUUACUCUUACCAAUUUUCCCUUCCAAAGCCGAACAAGUUUGCUCUUUCGCAUCGCAAGUUGAGUAAGCAAAUGCGGGUGAAAGCUGGUUGGAAGAAACUUGGAAGGAUAGAAACUCCAGUUUAUAAUUCUCAAGGAACAUGGAAGAAAUUUGGGACAUGAAGAAAUGACCAAAUUAUUGAAUUCCAGAAACCUCAGUUCAUGCAUAUUAGAGAAGGCUUCCGAAUUCCAAUGCACCUCUUUUGAUUCGGGUAACCGUAGGACUAUGCCUUCAAUAGCACGUGUCCCCUAAUAACCAAGAAGGUAGGAAGCGUCAGUUUCACAUACUAAUAUUAUGUUAAGAGCACCUCCAGCGGGGGAGGUUGCUCGGGGGCUGUGGAUCAAACAGUAGCAAAUUGCUGGGGGGAUGAGCUCCAGCGUAUGGAAGCCCGAGCAACAGGCGAGGCCCGAGGAGCAGGCCCGUCGAGGAUUGCCAGCCCGAGAGCCCGAGGGCUGCGUCAGGCGCGUGCGUUUCACGCGCGCGUGGGCGCGAGUCGUCCGACAAAAAAACAGGGCUGGGGCCCGCGAUUUCAGUUAUGAAAAGUAACCGUUGGGGAAGCCACGUGGCUUCCCCAUGUCUGUUCGAUUGAAACGGUCAUAUUUUAUGGACCGUUGGAUUUCCAACGGUAAAAAACAUUUAAAAAUAUCAUUUAAUUUCAUCCGUUUGAUUUAAAAAUCUCAUAUUUUAUGGACCUUUGUAAAUUAUAUAAAAAAAAAGAAAAAACUGUUUAAAAAUCUAAAAUGUUACCGUUGUGACACGUGGCACAAUCUGGAGUGUUGGAAUUUAAAUUUUUUUAAAUCCAACGGCAGAGAUUAAUUAGGUGAAUAAAAAUUUUAAAAAAAUGUAAAAAAAUUCUUAAAAAUCCGAAAAAAAAAUUAUGGAAAAUUAUAAAAAAUUUUGAUUUUACUUUUCUAUAAAUACCUUCUCAUUAUCUUCUACCCUACACCACAAUUUCAUAUUUUCUCAACUACUUUCAACCACAUUCCUAUCUUUCUUUCAAAGUUUCAAUCCAAUUUUUUUCCAACAAAAUGACUACUCAACCAGGUACGAAUUGGACGCUUCUGGAAGAUGUUGCGUUGUGUACUAGUUGGGUUCAAGUUACUCAUGAUUCGAUUAGGGGUAAUGAGAUGCAGUUGCGAGAAAUGUGGAGUCUUAUUCAUACCAAUUAUCUUGAGAAAAUGGGUGGGCAAAGAACUAAAGAAUCGAUGUCCAGUCGUUAGAAAUUACUUAGUCAAUCGUUUAGUAUGUCGAGAGACGCCUUGGCACAAGCUAGUGGUAAUCUUCGAAGUGGGGAAAAUUUAACGGAUCAGGUAACAAUAUAUUAUUUAUUUGUUAGCUACUUUCAUUAUAUUUAUUUGUUUGUAUUAUUUAUUUGUUAUCUUCUUUCAUUAUAAUUAUUUGUUAGCUACUUUCAUUAUAUUUAUUUGUUUGUAUUAUUUGUUACCUACUUUCAUUAUAAUUAUUUGUUAGCUACUUUCAUUAUAAUUAUUUGUUUGUAUUAUUUAUUUGUUACCUACUUUCAUUAUAAUUAUUUGGUUGUAUUAUUUAUUUGUUACCUACUUUCAUUAUAAUUAUUUUGUUAGCUACUUUCAUUAUAUUUAUUUGUUUUGUUUAUUUGUUUACCUACUUUCAUUAUAAUUAUUUGUUAGCUACUUUCAUUUAUAAUUAUUUGUUUGUAUUAUUUAUUUGUUACAUACUUUCAUUAUAAUUAUUUAUUUGUUACCUAUUCUCAUUAUAAUUAUUUGUUUGUGUAGGAACUUCAAGCACAAGCUUGGUAUGGUGCCAAAACCAAAAGCAAAAACAAAACAUUCACCUGGUUUGAAUGUUGGAAUAUUGUCAAAGAUUGUCCUAAAUUUAGAGUUGUGCAUGUCGGUCCAGAAGUUUUCAUGAACAACACCCCUCUACACUCUAUACCUGAGCAUGCCUCGCAUGAUCAUGAUGAAGAUGAUUAUGAAGAAGUGCCUGAAACGCCCCCCGUUGAACAAGCGUCGGGGUCGACCCGUUUUCCAAUUAGGCCUCAAGGUAAGAAGGCUUCAAAGAGAAAAGGUAAUGCUUCCAAGAAUGAUUAUGCAAAGUAUAUGGAAGAUCUUGCCUGCCAAGGUGAAUUGAAUUUGGCCCGGGAAAUGGCUAAAUUUGAGGCUGAUAAGGCUAAAGGAUGCAAAAGCUGCAGCUUUUGAGAGAAAAUUUGAAGCUGAUGAGAGAGAAAGAGAACUACUUCGGCAAGAAAGGGAACAUAGAAGAGAAGAAAGAAUGGCUGAACGAGAUCGUGACAUUAUGAAGGAGCCUUUAGAAGGGAAGUCUCCAGACUCUAAAUAUUUUUGGAAGUCAGAGAAAGCGGACGUGGUGCGAAGGAGGCGUGCAAGAGAAGCGAGAGCAAGAGGAGAUGGUCCUAGCACCACUAGAGAAGAUUAUCCUAGCACGACAAGAGAAGAUCAUCCUAGCACCACAAAUUGGUUAGGUGAUGGUUAUCAUCCAUUCACGAACCCAUAAUUUUCCAAUCAAUUCGGGUUGUAAUUUCUUAUUCGGGUUGUAAUUUCUUAUUCAUUGAAUAGAGUACUUUAUGUUGUUUCCAAUUUAUUGAACUUAGUACUUUAUUCAAAACACAUUUAAACACACCAAAUAAAAUAACAUCAACACACCAAAAAAACACACCAAAUAAAAUAAAAUUACAUUUCAACUCACUAAAUGAACUAAAAAAACACACCACAUAAAAUAAAAUAAACACACCAAAUAAAAUAAAAUUACAUUUCAACUCACUAAAUGAACUAAAAAAACACACCACAUAAAAUAAAAUAAACACACCAAAUAAAAACAAACACUAAUGAACUUAAGUAUCGUCAGCACCCCUCAAUUCCCACUGGUGCUCUAUCAAGUCAAGUUGGCGGGCAUUGUGCAUAUAUGACCUUUGAAGUGCAGUAUAUCGUUGGAUGAUCCUUUCAUUGUAACGUCCAUCCCUUUCUAAUGGCUCAUGUUGCACGGGCUCAUCGGUGGCGUCAUGAGCACAAUAUAUACGUGUUCUUGAAUUGUUCAUCGUGUCUGGCUCAUAUUCAUCAACGGCUUCAUAAUCGUACUCAUCUUCCACAAUCAUGUUGUGAAGAAUGAUGCACGUCAUCAUGAUGGAUCGAAGCGACUCUACAUCAAACAAUCUGGCAGCACCCCUGAUGAGAAUAUGAAAAAUCAAUAUUUAUUUGGACUGUUGGGCUUCUUGGAAUUUUUCAAGGUCUUCAAAUUUAUUGGUGCUAAAUUGGCUAUUGUGGAAAAUGUUAGUUGGACAUUUGAAAGAUCGAGGAAGACCAAACAAAACUUGAGGACGAGUUAUCGCACAACAGAAAUGUAUGACACCGAAUUUGGACUCGUCUAAUUAUUACAUGGUGUAUUCAGCAUAUUUAAUUCAAUGAUGGUUCAUGUUCUCAUUUAAGUUCAUGAUUAGUCUUACAUUAACUUCAUGCUUAGUAACCUAUUCAUGGAAGGUUGAAGGUUGUUCCAUGCCUAGCUAUUUAAAACCACUACUCAUGUAUGGAAACACAAUUAUUCAGAAAUUAAAAAUUACUUUUAAACUUGUUUUAUUGAAGAGUGUUUUUCUUCCUAUCUGUAAACUCUUAUCUCUUUGGUGGAUUCCUUAGAGUGCCGAGUUGUUUAUCUUUGAAUGUUCACUUAUGGUUUCUCUUUGAUCUCCGUUAUCCGGAGUCAGACACCUCAAGUAAGGCAGGGUAAAACCUUGCUUAUAGAGUUGGUCAUUGAUGAUCAGGUUGCUAGCAGACUUGAAUCAAAUUUGCUUAGCUUGGACUUUAUCAUCUGGGAAGGUGCCAUGAGUAAGGAAUUUAUAGAUUGGGGUGAUCCAACUAUCCCUUUGUUGUACGUUGCACACUUCCAUGGCUAUGGUGCUUGGUGCUGCCAAUAACUCGACAUGAAUGUUUCUUCCAAUCUCGUCUUCCACUGCUGAGGUGAGGCGAGCCAAGGCGUCUGCAUGGCUAUUUACUGCUCGAAGGACUUGGGUGAUAUAGUAGUGGAAAUGCUUGAGCAAAAGUUGUGCCUGCGUAAGAUAUGCGUCCAUGGAGCUAUCCUUAGCGUCAAAGUUGUUCGUGACUUGGUUAACCACUACCUGAGAGUCGCUGAAGAUAUCAAGUUGUUUAACUCCAAGGUGUUUGGCUAAACGCGCUUACUAGGAGGACUUCAUACUAGGCCUUAUUGUUUGACGCUUUGAAUUUGAAAAGAAGGGCAUACUCCAUUGCAAUUUUGUUAGGCAUAGUAAAGACCAGUCUUACUCCACAGACUUGUUGGUUGGAUGAGCCAUCAACAUACAAAGACCAUACUGGGAAGGUUGGUUCUCCUUUUCGAGCUUCUUAAGGUAACAAAGCCAAUGCCUCAGGUGUAGGAGAAAUGUCAACUGGAUAUGUGAAUUCAGUGAUGAAGUCUGCAAUUGCUUAACCCUUCUCAACUGGCUUUAGUUGGUAAGAGACAUCAAACUCACCCAAUGUUAUCGUCAUUUGAUCAUUCGUCCCGAAGUGUCAAGACUCUAGAGUAUUUGUCGAAGGGGGUGAUUGGUAAACACGAUGAUAGAGUGUGGUUGGAAGUAAGAGCGAAGUUUUCAAGCAGACAUGAUCAAUGCUAGAGCCAAUUUCUCAAUGUUAGAGUAUCGUAUCUCUGUAUCUUAUAAGGCUUUGCUAGUGUAGUAGACGGGUCGUUCAACAUUACCAUUCUUUUGAAUGAGAAUAAAACUAAUUGCUAAAGCUGAAACAUAUAAAUAGAUAAUGAUAACAUCAUCAACUUUAGGUUUGGAGAGUAAGGGGCUUUACUCAUGUACUCUUUGAGGUUCUUGAAUGCCUUGGCACAUUUAUUAGUCCAUGUAAUGUAUUUCUUACUUCCCUUAAGCACUUUGAAGAAAUGAGCAUAUCUGUCUAUGGCCUUAGAGAUAAGCAUGGUCAAAGCUGCCACUUUGCCAGUAAGGCUCUAAAUGUCUUUUGAAGUUAUUGGUUCUCUCAUGUUAAGGAUUGCUUUGAUCUUCUCGGAGUUAGCUUGAAUGCAUCGUUGGCUAAUCAUGAAGCCCAAGAAUUUGCCAGAGCCCACGUUGAGGCACAUUUGUUGAGGUUCAACCUCAUUUGGUACCUCCUCAGGAUGGUGAAGGUUUCAAACAAGUUGAUGAUGUGUUGGUUAGCAUGUUUUCUUUUGACUAUCAUAUCAUCAACAUAAACUUCCAUGUUCUUGCCAAUCUGCUCGGCGAACAUUGAAUUAACUAAUCCCUGAUAAGUCACGCCUGCAUUCUUAAGGUCGAAGGGCAUGACUUUAUAAAGUCAUUUGUCAGUGGUGAAAGUUGUGUGAUCUUUGUCCUGAGGGUACAUAAGCACUUGUUACCCACAUUGGAUAGAUGACCUCAUGGAAGAAGCCUAUAUCUUUAAAUUUUUCAACUUCUGCCUUCAUUGCCUCGUACUGUUUGGUGUCAUAAGAUCUUCGCUUCUGUCUCACCGACUUGGUCUUGGGAUCAAUGAUCAAGCGAUGACAGAUGAUAUCGGGAGAAAUUUCUAGCAUGUCCUCGUAUGCCCAAGUAAAUACCUAGGUGUUCUCUUGCAAAAAGGAGAUUAAUGUCAACCGAAUGGGUGGUUCCAAUCUUCAUCAUACGAUCUGGAUAGUCUUUUGAGAUAAAAAGCUUCUCCAACUCUUCAGCAGGCUGUGCUUGCUGAGUGAAAGAGUCAUCUCGUGGAUCGUUAGGUUGACCAUUGCCAUCACGAAGAGCCAAGUUGGCUUUAUCAGGGCUGGUCUUUAUGACUUGGCUAUGUAUAGAGAAGGUUUCCUUGGGCACAUGCAAACGUUGUUACUUGACUGAAGAGUUGUAGCAUAAUCGUGCACUAAGUUGAUCUCCUCUGAUGUAACCAUUGCUAGAAGGUGUUGGAAACUUCAUCAACACCAUAUGUAUGGAUACCAUGGCUUUAAGAUCAAUGAUGCAUGUGCACCCAAAGAUGAUAUUGUACGCUGUCAGGCAGUCGACCACAAAGAAAUUAGUGGUAAUAGUAACUGUACAAGGGCCUGUAUCAAUGGUGAGUGGUAAGUGUAUGCUCCCCAAAGGUUGCACGGUAUCAUCAAAAAAACUUAUCAUGGGAGUAAUUGAGGGAUCAAGCAAGUGUUCAACUACAUUAAGUGCCCUAAAAGCUUCGGCGAACAUGAUAUUGACCGAAACACCUGUGUCUACAAUGAUCUGUCGCACAUCAAAGUUGGCUAUGUGAGCCUUCAUGAUCAGUGGGUCGUUGUGAGGGUAGAUGAUGCCUCAUUCCUCCUCAGGGUAGAAAUAUAUCAGAUCAUAUUUAGGCUUUUGAUAAUUGCCUUCCCUGAUGUUUUCCACAUGAAACACUUGGUGGCCAGACCUCAAAGUUCGUUCACUGUUUUUCAUGGCCUUGUUGGAAGAUUUAGAUAGGGGUGUGCCACCGCUGAUAGAAUAUAUCACGUUCACCUGGUGUUGGUUACGGUUAUCCCUGGGAAGGUGAAGAGGAAUGGAUCAAUUUUCCUUUCGCGUGCCAAAGCUUCGAUAUGGUCAUGGAGGGUGAUACACUUCUCGCUGUCAUAGCGGUUAUACUCGUGGUAAUUGCUAAACAUGCAUGUGUUCUUCGUGGACUUAUAAUCUGGCUGCCUCAGCUUUGACUUUGGUAUCAAGUGAGCUAUACUGGGGUAAAUCGUUGUUCAUGUGACAUUCAAAGGUGUGUAUGUUUCAUACAUUAAGGUAGGGCUUGUCUUAACCUGUGUUUGGCCUAUCGUAUUAACUGUUUGAGGGCAGGCGUUAUCAUAGUGAGAACUUUGGUUAUCCCGAUAGUGUCCCUUACUCUUCUUAUUAAAAUGAGACUAUUGAGGAUGGAAAUCCUUCCUCUUGCCUUGAGAUUGAUAUGUUUGUUAUCCUAGCAACACACUAGGUAAGGUAGAGGGAGAUGCAACAACCGUCUAGAAGGUCGAGGUUUUCUCACUUGGUUUGAUUUGGCUCCCAUUUCCCACUUGUUAAUAGAGGAUAGCCAUAGGGGGUUUCCUAUGAUAUGUCAUUACUUUGGCAGAUACAUGGUUAUAAGCAUGUGCCAUCACCUCAGAGAAAGUCUUCUAAGUGUUGGCAUUGAUCAUGUACUUGAAGAAACACUCAUGUAUACCUGCUGUGAAGGCCUUGAGGGAAAUCUUGUCAUUUGCCUCAGCGCAACCUCAUGGCUGAAAUGGCUAGCUAGUGACUCAUUUGGCUUUUGGAGAAUAGUGUACAAGUCAUCUACAGAAUGCAAGUGAUCGGUUUGGAAAAUGUGUUGAGAAACAAACAGUUUCCUCAGCUCCUUAAAGAAAUUUACCGUCUCAGAUGGAAGGCAGCAAUGCCAGUUCAGAGCUCUACUAGAGAGGGUGGAAAGGAAAAGAAGAUAUCGUUCUUCAUCAGUAUGCAUUCCGUAUGCCAUGGUGGACUCAAAGAGGUUAAGGUGUUCAAUUAGAUCCUCUAUUCCAGUAUAUAGUUGUAAGCCGAGCUUCUACUUUGUCUUUGCUUGGAGGGGUGUGUCAAGGAUCCUCUUUGUAAAAAGGUCGGGCCUUGGUUAAUUCCAGUCAGGUAUCUCGGCCUGACUUUCGACCUUCAACUUGUUUACUUCCGCAAGGAGCUGUAAGACAAGAAGGUCCUAGGACUUGUCGCUCAUUCCCUGGAUUGGUAGCUGGCCUGGGCCAUGGUAGAGGACCGAGUCUUUCAAAAACCCUUGGGUCAUUGAUUUUUGAGCUUAUAUGGAUAGGGUUUUCUCGACGUUGCCUCAAAAAGUCUCAAUAGUCACAAUAAACAGCUUUCGAUCCUUCCACUCCCUCUACAAGGAGGUGUCUCCCUCUACUUCUCAUGUUUAGGGUCGAAGUAGCUCGGUUGAGAGAAGUCUCACGUUGAUCAACAUAUUGAUGAGUAGCUUGCUCCUCAUUAGGAAUAUCCAUGCUGAAGACUGGUGACCCGUUGUGUUGGGGGGUACCUAGGUGAUGCUUAGCAUCUACAAGAGCAAUGGGCUCGUGUGACUGAGUAUACCUAGCCUCAUGGAGCAUUCUGAAGAGCUUCUCAUACUAUUCCUGGAAGAUUUCAUUCUUCAUUGCUAUCUUGUUGUUCUAAGCCUCCAACUCUUCAACUUUAGCUUGAAGAGCAAACUUCUUUCGUUCCUUCCUUCGUUGCUUCACGCUAGGCACAAGAGGAGUGUCGUUCUGCGUGCUGUAACUUCCUUCACUCCCCAUGUUGGAGAGGGCUGCCUAAUCGAAUGAGAGUGUACGAACGAUGGAAAAUAUCUUGACAAAGCUGAAGAGAGUAGGAAUAAGUGUGCUUCCCACAGACGGCACCAAAUGUUGAUGCACAAAAUCAGUGAAAACUUUGGAACAACGUAAAGUGUCAAGUUUGUGACCUUCGCUCGGUUGCUCCUAUCACUAGUAAGGAUAAUAUGUAAAGAGAUAGAGAUAGGAAAGCAAACACAAGAUGUAAAUAGUUUACCUUAAGUUUGGCUACAUCCACGAAGUAGAGGAGUUCUCAUUAAUAGUGAAGGGUUUACACAAAUACAUAGGUUCAAGCAUAAUCAUCAUUAGUGGGUACUAAUGACUAGUUUAAGUACAAUAAUGACAUUAAGGACUAAUUGUAGGAGAAUGGUCUCCUUUUAUAGUUGAGGAGAACCUUUAGCUUUUGUUCGCGGUCGAUGUAGGACUCUAUGAGCUUUAUUCUGACGUUAACAUGUGUCAUGCUGCGAUUAGCCUCCUGGUUAGUGAGAAAUUCUUAUGCUUCAGCAGGGGUGCCUCAGCAUGAACCCCUCAAUGGGUCUUUGAAGGUAUGACGUUGACUGGUGCUUGGUAAUUUCGGGAUUGGUUAAGUAUGGUACAAGCAGGCAUCAUCCGUAUACUAAGAACCAUCAUCAGAAGAUUCACAAUUCUCAUCAAAUUGUUUAACUAAGACGUGUGCUGAUACUUUUGGUGCAGUCAUAUAUAAGAAAUGUUUCGACUCCUUCAUGCUAUAACAAAUGAUGCAAUAGAUUCUGAUCAGUCAUCGUCGUCAUCAUCUGUAUUACCAUAAUGAUAAAGAAAGCACAAUUCAUGUCAGCAAGACAGCAACAUAAACGUAUAACACCCCCAUACAUACAGGAAGAAAUGAUUCAAAUGAUAGAACUAGAAUUGGAAUUCUUGUCAAAUGAAAAACUAGAAUUAGAACUAAUUCAAAUGGCACUUCAUGACUAAUGGCAACCAACACGCCAUUUUGUUCUUAGGAUCCAGAAAAUCGCAUCCAAAAUUAUCACGAUAGAUAUUACCAAUUUGAGUUCCCACUGUCCAUAAAGAAAGCAAAUAUCUCAAAUAAAAAGCAACUAAGCAAACUGUUGUAAAUCCAUUAACUAGAGUGUUUGAUGAUAGGUGGUCGUACAUAGAGAUGGGCAAAACAUCCGCGGUAUGGGUUACCGAGGUUAUCUACCUAUUUAAAAUUCACAGUUUAUAAGUAAUCGUUCAAGCAAAAAAAGAGCUAUGGGUUUAACCAUUUACCCACAAAAUUUAAAGGGGUGAUUAUAGGUACCCAUUUAACCGUUUAUUUUGGUGACAACUAGUCGAUGAGACUUUGUGAUUGGGCGCGUGCUAAAGCAUUUGAGUGUUUGAAAGUUUAGUUUUGGAAUAUUUUGGAGAUUUGAAUCAUCUAGCAUUCAAGAUAAUGAUUACCUUGAUUUUUUUUUUUUUUUUUAGUACAUCGAUAUUUUUACAUUAGGGGGAGAUAGAGUUCGGCUAAGCCACACAAUGGGCAGCCUAAUUUGGUAUCAAAUUUGCCAUCCAUGAGAUUCGAACCUAAGACUUCUCACUUUUAAGCGAAAAGGAAUACCACCAAGGCAGCCUAAUUUGGUACCAAAUUCGCCAUCCAUGAGAUUCGAACAUAAGACCUCUUCACUUCUAAGCGAAGAGGAUUACCUUGAUAUUUUAGAAGCUUUACUUUGUAAUCAUAAAAUCAUAUGGAGCUUAAAUUAUUUUGGGAACUGUUAUUAGCACUCUAAAAAUCUCAUUCUACGCUCUUUGUAAGUGUAUUUUUCUUUCUAAUUAUAGAAAGUUUGGAGUGCAAAAUGAGAUUUUUGGAGUGCUAAUAACAAUUCCCUUUAUUUUACUCUUGGUCUAGAUGUUAUAAUUGAAGACUUGCUUGGGUGUAGAGGAAAAAUAUGUUGAAAAUGCAUGAAUUUUCUUUCCAAUAUACUUUAGUUUGUAAAAAUAAAUACGGCUUUGAUAUUUGACGUUUACCUGGUUAAGUAAUGAGAGGUCUUCUGUUAGUAACCCGAUCAAUUCUUGGAAAAUAUAUUAUAUUACCUUCAUUGAUAACUGUGGAUGCAAAUUUUCAUCUUCUUCUUCUUGGACAAAAUUGCACCCGACAAAAUAAAUAACACCUUAGGUCAAGGCCAAGAGCCUCACGCACCCACGAUGAAUUUGGGGGCCGGGGGGGGGGAGCUUUAGCUGAAGAACGUCUGAUGCCAAAGUUAAAAUUUUGAGGGAAAAGUGUUUGGAGAAUUUAGAGAAUUUUGCAAGAGAGUUGGAAUUUAGGUUUUGAAAAUGAGGGUGUUUAUAUAGGGGUGUGGCUGGCCCAUUUGGGAGGAGAUGGACCGGCCACUUGGAUGGUUUUUUGGGUGAGAUUCAUGAUUUGUAGCUAAUUAAUAAAAUUGAAUAAUAAAUCAAUUAAUUAGCUAAUUAAUAUAAUUUGAAAGGAAAGAUUUGGGGGUUACCUUGUGGAGAAUAUUUGAUGAGGAUGGAUGAUUUUAAAUAAAUACCUAUUUUGGGCACUUUUGACUUGAUUAAGGGAUGGUUGUCCACUGCUCGCGCGUAGGAGUUUCGGUGUUCCUCGAGGGUGGUUUUGUCCUUUUUACCCUAGAAUCCACGUGUCACCUCCAUAUUAUUCUUGAUUAUUUUUUGCUCCACAAAUGCCCCACACCUAUUAGGCUGCUCGUAGGAAAGGGCAGUAGGUGUAAAGAUCUUCUUGCUUUAGGAAACAUAAGAUUGUUUCCUAUUUUGUUGUAGAUUCCCUCUUUAAUUAGAAAUUAGAUCCUUCUAGGAAAGGGAAAUAAAUCACUUCUAAAGUCUAAUUAAGUCUACCUUAAGUAGAUGAUUAAAUUAACUUUAGAGAGCAAUCUAUUCUACCAUACAAGAGAGAGAAAGCUAGAGGAUAUUUGUUCCCCCUCCUUUAGCAAUAUUCUACAUUUGCCCGUGCAAAGGACUGUCUUUCGUUGCUUUCUUCGUCAGGGUAGUGCAGCAUGUCCGCUGGCAGGGGAUAAGAGUUGGCUUGGCAUGGCCCGAUGAGGUGUUGUGGCAGGGACCACUACUUGGGCUGCUCGGUUUGGCUAAAGCCAAGGGCAGCUGUGCGGCUGGGGUCGCGGAUUGUGGCGUUGGGGCACAGUGCUAGGCGAGUCGUAUGACUUAUAUCCUUUUAGGCUUUUAAACUUGACACGGGCUAGGCCGGUGAUUGAGAGAAAUGAAAAAGUCAUAGGCCUUAUGGGUUGCUGGAAUGCUGGGCAUGUAGCAAUGAACGGCGUUGGCUGCUUAGUCCUCUUUGCUGAGAGAAAGGUGGGCUGCCCCUGAGAGAGGAGAUAAAGAGAACAAAGUCGGAAAUGUUGGCUUGCCCGAUCGCUGUAGUGGAGCCUGCUGCGUAUGAAGGUGGGAAAAUAGAUCUUCCCCGCCUGCUCAAAAGGUGUUGGCUGAGAAAAAACCAAAGACUUCUUCCUAGGGGACGAAAGAUAGGGCUGCUAGAUUUGAACCAAUGACGCCUGCUAUGCCAAAGAUGGUUAGUUCGAUUGCUGAUAGGAUUGCUCAGCGUAGAGGUUCCGUCGUGCCCCAGCAUCGAAACCAGUGUCGAAGCGUCCGUUGGAAGCUAACUCUGGUUCACCUUUGAAAAGACUUGCUAAUAUGAAGAGUGAUAAGGUGGACUCUGUUGCUAAAGUGGCACCAAGGCCUACUCUUUUACUGAUGAGAUUGAUUCGCCUGCUGGGAAAGAAGAAACUGCUCGCGUGGGUAGCUAUGAGGAAUCCACUAAGACUGCUUCUGAGGAAGCUGCUGAGAUCUGUGCGCUUUUGAAACCAGAUCUGGUUGAAGACAUGGACUCUUAUGCCAAGUUUGUCGAUGACGUUAGAAAGGUUGUUUACCCAAGUUCCUUUGUGAAGCAUAUGGCCAAGUGUAGGAAGACUGCUCUACUUGUAAUGAUGAAAAAGAUGGCUAUUCCUUGACCAAGAGGAUACCAAGGCUACCAAAGAGGUGGUAAAGGUUGUGGCAGCCGAAGCUUAUUCUUCUGCCAAGAAGAUCAAUAGGUUGGAAUCUGAGCUCGUCACUUUGAAGGGGUAUAAUAUCUCUACCCCUACUUCUCUGCAGCUUGAGACCACUCGCCAAGAGAUCGUUGACUUGAAGACCAGGCUUGACAUGAUACAACUUAAGUAGAAGGAGAUCGGAUGUCAUAUACCUCAAAUUCAAGAUCUUGAGCAUAUUGUUUCUAAGCUUCAUUUCACUGCUUUUGCAAAGGAUGAAGAGUUCAUUGCUGCUUAUAACCAAGUGAUCACUUCAAGAAGGUCAUUGAUAGGCUUGAACCCUAAGUGUUGGGAACUCCAAGGUGCACUAAAGAUCAAUGAAAGUUUGAAGAAAUAAGUGGAUGAGCUGCAACUCGUCCGUGUUGAUCUGCUCAAGGAAAUCAGGCAGCCGAAAGGUGAGAAGGCUGAGCCAGAGGCUUCGCUUGUUCAGAGUGAGGUUGAUUUCUAUAAGCUGGGUUAUGUAGAUCGUCUCUUUGAUAAGCCGUCCGACUUCGAGUUUGCUGAGAGAGACUUCGAAACUUUCUCUAUUUCUCCGGAAGACUUGCUUGUACUUUUGAGGCCUCCAUUGGUGAAGUAGUCGGAGAUGUUGGUUCCCAGGUUGGAGCAGCUGGGGGUGAAGUGCCGAAUGGUGCCGUUGCUGAGAAUGUUGCAGUUGCUGAAUGUGUGGCGACUAAGUAAUCGUGGAGUGUCCAAGCUGCUGAAGAGUAGUCUUCUACGUUGUCUUUAGGAUUUUCUCUGUUUCCCUCAUUGCUUUUUACUUUGCUUGAACUCAUUCUGUCGUUGCUAGUUGUUUAUCAAUUUUGCUAGAAAAUUUAAUAAACUUGCUUCUUCUCUUUUCUCCAUCUUUGCUUCUUUUGUUCAUGCCCUAACCUUUAGACUUCAUAGACCAAUGGCAGGCGUGCUACUUUUCUAUAAGUAGGCAGGCCCGCGUAGCCGAUGCAGUCGUAGGUGUUGGCGUAAAACUUUGCAAAAUUGUUGGCCAUAAGUUUGGCAGCCGGAUGCCUUACUUAUAAAAGCAGACAAGUUCGCAUGACCACUAGGCUGUUAACCUUGGCUUUCUCCAAAUUCGUAGGUUGCGUAUCACAACACUUUAGGACUUGGUGUAGGUCGUUUCGCGCUUGGCAGAGGUAAAGCUUAUCGACUACGUAGCAUGUUGACAAUGAAUAAAGGUUCGUAUAUGCACGCUAGCUUGUUUAACCUUUCACAAGAAUGUGCGGUUGUAUAAGUUUAGCAUGGCUUUACUGCUUGAAAGGCAAGUUGUAGACAGUCUUUUGGAAAUCGUAGGCUAUCUUAAUGUACUCCGUAGUAGCUUUAGGGUUCCAGGGCAGCCGUCUGUAGGGCGUACUACGUAAUGUGCCCCUCCAUCUCUGGGGCCAGGUUCCCCGCGGAUUAGGCUAAGAGACCCAAAAUCCUUCAGCUAGCUAAGCCUUGAAAAAGGCCAUUGUGGCUACUUCUAGGAAUCCCUGUGCAAGUCAUCGUGCACCUAGUUAUACUAAGGCAGCCCAACUCAUCCAUGUCUGGAUAUUCGGAGUGUAAAGUUUAUCUUCCCACCUUGGAAAGCAAACCCAUGAGGGUGUCAGGGAAUUGGUUUACCCUCUCACACUGGAGAGCAAUUUUGACUUGAUUGAGGAAUGGUUGUCCACUGCUCGCACGUAGGAUUUCCGGUGUUCCUCGAGGGUAGUUUUGUCCUUUUUACCCUAGAAUCCACAUGUCACCUCCAUAUUCUUCUUGAUUAUUUUUGGCUCCACAAUAAUAGCUAAAAAUAUCGUUUAUAAAUUAUUAUUUCAACUUCCGGAAUGAUAUGAGGACUUAAAAGAUGAAAAUAGGAAAAUGCAUGUUAAAUGUAUCAAUAACGGCGUUUAAUUGUCAGAAAAAGAAAUUAUGACAAAUUUCCUUUUUAAUUUUUAAAUGUCAAAAAAACAAGUAUGCAGUUACGGUUAAAUGGCCAAGCCUAGACAUGAGGGAGUUCAUAAGCAGCCUUCCGAAUGUUCUCCGCUAAAAAGGCAUGCGCAUAUUGCCUGUGACUUUGGAAGUUGGGGAUUACAUCCUUUCUCCACUGAUAUGUGUGGAGAGAAAGAGUAUCCAAGAUCUUUAAGUUGGGGAUUACAUCCUUUCUCCACUGAUAUGUGUGGAGAGAAAGAGUAUCCAAGAUCUUUUUAUGAGUUUCACAUCAGGGCGUCUUUAUCACCAAGAGGAAACAAUGGUUCGAUACUAUAGAAUACCUAUUCUGCUGAUUGAAUUUUCACAGGAUAAAAGUUUCUCCUUUCGGGUAAAUCUGAAUCAUAUAUUUAGAGAUUGGUUAAUUGGUUGGCUUAAUGCUGAGGUGGAUAUAUUGUUGGAUAUUUAGUUGCAGUCUGCAAGUGAUAUUGGUGAUGAUGUCACACCAAAUAGUUUUAUAUCUAAGCUGUCGUGGCUUGUUCUACACUUUCCCCGGUUGCGAAUCAUCUGGUCUCGCAGUCUGCAUGCUACUGCUGACAUAUUUGCUACUCUUAAGGCAAAUCAGAUGAACCUGACGAGAGCAAAGCAACUACAGUUGGUGUACCCUCUGAAGAUGGAAUUGUGGAGGACGACGUGAGGUAAGAUGCAACUUGUUUUUGCAUGUUGCAAUUGUCACGUCAUAAGCCUAUAUUAAAAUCUUUCCUGCUCGUAGAGGGCAAUGGGAGAAUUCACUCUCUUUUUCAGCAGAGCAUGUCAUCUACACAGGGCCCUCCUUAUGCUUUUUUUUUUCUUCAAUGAAAGUAAUUAUUAGUGGAUAUUAAUGGUGGAAAAAACGUUUAGUCACCAGUGGUACAUGUUCCGCAAGAGGGAAAAUUAUGUAAUAGUAGAACCACAUCAGUCGUUCCCAGUCAAAUAGUUCAGUCCCUGAGCUGACCAUGGAAUGCCUCUCAUUACCUGAGCUUUGGUUUGUUUGUUCAUCACUUGAUACUCAUAGCAUAAAUCUGACGGGGUAUUGUAAAUUUUCAGGGCUGAAAACUACAAUACGUAUGCGGUGGAAUUUUGAGACGACUCCCGGGUGUUACAGAUUUCAAAUUACAGGGCCAUAAUGGAUGGGUGUAAGAGCUUGGCGGAACUCGCUAGGGGAUUUUGGUCUAGCAGAAAUGUAUGAGCAUAGUUCCAUCAUUGCAAGAGAAGCAACUAUACCAGCUGGAACAGUGGGAUAUGUUGCUCCGGUACGUUUAUUCAGGUGUGUUUGCAGCUUUGGUGUGGUGGUGUUAGAGGUGGCAACGUGAAGAAAAUCAGUGGAGGAUGAUGGAACGUUGGUUGUUGAUUGGGUUUGGAGCAUGUGGGAAAAUGGGAAACUGCUAGGUUGAUGCGGCAGUUUGAUAUGGUAGAGAUGGAGAGGAUGCUGAUGACUGGACUUGCUUGUGUGCACCCAAACCAUGUGAAGAGGCCAAUGGUGAAGGAAGCUACUAGGAUUCGUAAAGGCGAAAAGCCUCUUACUCUGCUGCCACCAAGAAAACCAAGGGUAAAAUCUGUCUUUUAACACCAUUAACAAUCGCCUGUCUUUUAACACCAUUAACAAUCGCACUAGUUCAUUCAUUCAUUCAUCCAUUCUUAGUGCAAAAUAAAAAGCUCAUGAGAGAGUUUACUGAUCAUAGAAACAAAAUCUACCGAAAAGACACUGGAUAUUUAACCAAGUACAACUGUUAAAGAAUUCAGAUAUGGUCCCUGUCUCUACAAGUAUCUGUCUCAAUUAAUUGUUUAAAAAAUGCACCAAGCUUCUUCGCUUCAUUAGACAUUGUCGAACUAGACCCAGGAGACGUCUCAGAGUCCAGCGACAUGUGGGCUAACUUGGCAGAUACCAUUUUCAACCUCGGGGCUCAAAUUCCGAUAACCAUUAAGCUGAUGGGAUAAAUCGAUAGUGAGUUGUCUGCAUUUAUUAUAAGAUGGUAACUAGUAACAAUGUUUUUUGUGGAUUUGCUCUGUGUCGUUGAAGCUAGCACUUAUAGGUCCACUUGGAGAUGCCUCGUCACAAUAUUCAUGUGUUCGUUUCAGGAUUUUCAGUGUUUGGUUGAGUUCUUCCAAAUCUUGCUUGUACACCAAACGAGCCCCACACUUCUUCACCUUAUUCAAGUCUGCUUCUACGUUUACCCCUCCAAUACAACUAAAGUAAGUUCCGAAUAAAAACUGUUCCUGAUGACAAAUUUCACGAGGCAAAUGAAAUACCCAAAUGUGUUCUGACACAAGAGACCCACAAAUCAUAGAGUAGAAGGGUUUUGAUAAAAACUCAAUUUUUAAAUCAAUACGAUAAAAAUGGGCGGCUAGAUUGGCCAAGUUUUCCUUAGGAACUUGAAAAACAACACAAAAGGCAAUUCCCAGCCAGUUGGUACAUGAUGGUGGAGGAAGCUCCACAUUUACUAAAUGUCCCAUACUUUGAUUACUAAACCACUCGGGAAUUUCGCUUCCAGGAAAUACAGCCGGUUGCUUUCGGUAAUAAUCCUGUAACCAAAGAACUAUCAUAUAUAUAUAUAUAUAUAUAUAUAUAUAGAGAGAGAGAGAGAGAGAGAGAGAGAGAGAGAGAGAGAGAGAGAGAGAGAGAGAGAGAGAGAGAGAGUACCUUGUUCUGAGUGGCAAAUUUUAGAAUCCUUGAGAGUAUUGUAUUAGUCCAGCCUUCAUCUUGAACCAAUGCAAUGCAAUUCCGGCAAGUGAAACUAAAAUCAUACAAAUUGAUGAAUCUGCUGCUCAUUGGAUGUAUCUGACAAACUUCGUAAGGAAGUACAAUCGUUUACAUCUACAUGCAAUUUGCCAUUAGAUGGAAGAGGUGGCAAUUUUUGAAGGCUUUUGCAGCUUGACAGACCAAGAUAACAAAGCUUAGAAAGGCACCUAAUGCUUUCAGGUAGACUCACGAAAUUAUUUCCACCAAGAUUCAAUCUUUCCAAAAAGGACAAGCAGCCAAUAUCAUCAGGAAUAUCCCCAUCACAGAGUUUACAAUCUUUUAGAUUUAUGGUCUUCAAAGUGCAUAAACGAUUUAGAGAAGAAAACAUGAAACCCCGACAAGGAGGAGGAUCAGGAGCACUUUUUCCAAGUCCUAAUAUGCGAAGAAUGCCCCACCCGUCCCUUUCUUUAGCAUACGAUCCGUAUAAUUGUAGAUGUUUGAGAUUUUUCAUACCCCCCAAUCGGCUCUGUCAAAGUGGCUCCCAAUACAAGCGUCUCUAAGUGAUCCAUGUCUCCUGGGAGUUUGUCAAUUUUUGAGCAUUGUCCCAUACAGAGGCGUCUAAGAGACUUCAAAUUACAAAUAGCCCUUGGAAGGUCCAAGAGAUUUUUGCAAUUAAAUAGAUUCAAAUCCUUAAGGCCAACCAAAUGUUCAAUUGAUGAAGGCAUUUUCUCAAUCGCAGUCCCACCUAAGUGAAGCUUGGAUAAGUUCUUCAUCUGCUCCCCAAAUUCUGGAAUCUUUUUCACAUUUAAGCAGCCAUUAAGAUAUAAAGAUUCCAGAGAAUCCAUUUCAACUUCACUUGGGAGGCUCUUAAUGCUAUCACAGCCAUUAAGAUUCAAAAGUUUAAGUCUUUUGAGGACUGUAAUAGACGGGUGUAUCUCAACUAAAUUCUUACAAUGCCCAAGAGCCAACUCCACAAGAUUUGGAACACCAGUGAAAUCUGGGGUAUUAAUCAAUUUUUUGGAGAAGCCAAGAUCGAUAUAUUUCAAGUUGGGCAAGUCCUGUACAACAUUGAUAUGGUUCAGAUCGUAUAUUUAGCUUCUACAAUCUUAAAGUUUAUUCAAAAUAAUAAAUAAAUGAUUAUUCUGUAAAUUAAAUAGCAUUUAUUCAAUACUAUUACCAAUUUUCCCUUCCAAAGCCGAACAAUUUUGCUCUUACGCAUCUUUAGUUGAGUAAGCAAACACAAGUGAAAGCUGGUCGGAAGACACUUGGAAGGAUAGAAACUCCAAUUUAUAAUUCUCAAGGAACAUGGAAGAAAUUUGGGGCAUGAAGAAAUGAUCAAAUUAUUGAAUUCCAGAAACCUCAGUUCACGCAUAUUAGAGAAGGCUUCCAAAUUCCAGUGCACCUCUUUUGAUUCGGGUAACUGUAAGACUAUGCCUUCAAUAGCAUGUGUCCCCUGAUAACCAAGAAUGUAGGAAACAUCAAUUUCACAUGCUAAUAUUAUGUUAAUAGAAAUCAUAUCCAUUUUUGAACUUGGUAUUUACAUAAUUUCUUACUGUAUUGGUCAUGAAUACAUGAAAAAUGUCAUUAGGAAGCCACAAUCGACUACGUAGACCAGACUCUUCAGACUCUUGACGAACAAUUGUCCAUGCCAUUUGUUGUAUCAAAUCAUGCAUCCCUAUUUUGUUUCCGUAAUCGUUGUAUAGAAGAGAUCUCUCAAUUAGCAAAUCUAUUAGAAUACAACUAGAAAUUCCGAAAGAAUUGUCUAGUACUUGAAUUACUUGCUUUGUGUACUUCCCUUUGUGGAAACAUGCAACAUCAAGGAAAAUUCUUUUCUCCAUCAGCCGGAGUCCAUCAUAACUAACUUUGAGCGAAUAAAAAAUAUUCUGAUUGUGUAUUUUAUGUAGAUUAUCCAACUCACUAUUCCAUGCAUCUCGCCCUCUCCUAUACAAAAAAGAACCUACAACUUUAAGAACUAAGGGAAGGCCUCCGGCAUGGUUUAGGAAACGCUCAGAGAGUUCCAAAAAGUCUUCCUCGGGUUGGUCUUUUUUGAAGGCAUUCAAGCUAAAGAGCUCAAGAGCUUCUCCAUAAUUCAAUCUCUCAACCUUAUAUGAUGUUGCUAUACCAUGCUGGACGAGCAGACCUUCAUUUCUUGUUGUAAUGAUGAUUCUGCUCCCCAUACCAAACCAACUUUGAUUCCCAGCCAGUACUUCUAGUUGGUUUAAUUCAUCCACAUCAUCAAGUACGAGAAGAACCUUUUUAUUGCACAAGCACUUCAUACUGUACAUUCUUCCGCACUCAUCAUCCCAAAUUUCUUCAAUCUUUUUCUUCAAGAUUGGGAAAAGAAGUUUUUUUUGAAGGCCAACAACAGUACGAUCUCUUGCACAAACCUCUCUAACAUUAGCAAGAAAACAGUGAACUUCAAAAUGAUGGAAGAUUUUAUCAAAAACUAGCUUAGCAAGGGUUGUCUUGCCUAAACCACCCAUCCCAGUUAUCCCAAUAAAGCGAACAUCAUUUGCAUCAAGAGCUAAUAGCAUAGUUAGUUGCUCGAGUGCGGAAUCAAUUCCGACUAACUUCUGUGAGGAAUCUGACGAAGUGAUUGUAGCUUGCACCUUCCUCCACACACAUUUGACAAUGUCAUCAAUCAGCUCUCUUUCACACCUGCAAAGAAGAAAAAUAGAGUAACAAAAAAGAGAACAUAAGUAAGCAAUCAAGUAUGGAUGACUAUAUUAAGACAUGGGCAAGUUGUUCUUGCUUGCUUACUUAAAAUUCUUCAAAUCCCACCCAGAAAUUUUCGACACUGUUUUUAAAGCAGCUUUCCACUGAGUCACCUUUAUUUUGUCUUCAGUGCUAGUCAACUUUCCUUCAUGCUUGGCGAAGGCUUCGGCAAACCUCCCCCUCUGAUUUCCUACGUCAGAGGGAUCCACACCAUAAAAGACUGGG
rnacentral:lncRNA from 1 species